GAACGAACCAGUUGCUGCAAAAGUAUAAUAUUGAGGAAGAUCUGACAGAUCCGGCUCCUCCUCCGCUCUCCUCUUCUCUCUCCCUAUUUUCUAGAUUACAACUAGAACUAACUAGAACUAGAACUAGAGGAACUAGAACUAGAACUAGAUGAACUAGAACUAGAUCUAGAUGAACUAGAGGUAGAACUAGAAGAACUAGAGGGAUCCUCUCUACUUGGAUGAAGAAUUGAAACCCUAACUUUGAUUCUGUAGAAGAGGUAUGAUCUCCAGGGGCCAGGGAGCCUUGCUUAUAUAGUCUUUUCAGAUGAAUCUGGGCCGUCGGAUCAAACCGACAUUGAUCGUGUGGUUUUUCUUGAAGUAUUAGGUCGGUGGAGCAUGAUCCGCGAAACGUGUCCUGAUUGGGCACUGUAGCUGGGCGGGCGCCUAGGAGAGUUGGGCGGGCGCCCUGCCUCCGAGCCCGAUUUCCUUCCCGUUCGUUCCUGUGGCUUCUGGAGUCUUCUAGAUGAUAGAAAAUUGCGCGACACGUUAAUAUCUCUAUGUAAACCCGACGUGUGGGCCUUUCUUCCGUAUUUCCUGAUAACCCCCUGCAGAAAUAGACAAACACCAAAACUCGUGGAAUUCUGUCAGAUAAAACCCUAAGUAUAGGUGUUGGUUGCAUUUGGAUCCUUUUCCAUGAUUAGUUGAUGAUUAAAUAUGAGCAUUAAGGACUGUCAACAAGCUCCCCCAAGCUUAACCUUUGCUCGUCCCUGAGCAAAGAUGGACUCAAGAGUUUCUGCAUUGGUUUUAUACCUUAAAGAUACACAAGCGUUCAAACAAGAUCUCAUCUCUAGGUUAGGGUAAACUGUUAAGAUUUAAACUUACUCAUAUUACCUUCCACCAUGGGGCUUACAACCGUCACCUGUGUCUUGAGCAGUUAAAAGAUAGAACGGUCUUGUCAAACGUCAUGUCUCUUGUUCUUCGAUUAACUAUAGCUCUGGAGUUUUUGCAGAUUUUCAAAUAAAACUCAGAGAUUCCUUGUAUGACUCUCUCUAGUCUCUCUUUUGUGGUAUUUCUGGAUUCUUACCAAGGCAGUAAAGGUGUAUGCCUUCUCUCAAAGUAUGUGGUAUUUUUGGUAUAAGGCAUAGUGACAUUGCCUUCUCUCUCACCUACUCUAAUAAGGCUUUUGAUAUCUGGAGCUCAUAGGUGGGAGACAGCUAAUACAUACUUACAAGACAUUUAUUGCAUAGUCAAACCAUGGAUCCAGAAGAACAAGUCAAUAAGUCAGAUCAAGAUGUGCAUGUGUGGCGAAUGAAUGAUGCAUGGUAAUGAUGGUGAUAACAAUGGUGAAAGUCUAAUUCUACUUAUGCUCUUUUGAGGGGAUACAUACCUUUCUUGCUCUUUUGAAACUUUUUGAUGAGAAUGAGAUGCUCUAUAUUUUCUUUUUCUUUUCUCUCAGGUGGGUAUCUUGUACCCCUAAUUCUACUGUCGGACACUUGUCCAUUUUUACCUCUUGUCUCACUUUUUCUUUUCUUUCGAGGUUUCGGGCACUUGCCCCUUUUUAUUUCCUCGUAUCUUUUUUUUUCUUUUUUAGAGCAUUCAUCUCUUGAAAUAAUAUAGCAAGUGGUAGUAACCAAGAUAACUUGAGCAUUUAUUUCACGGGAAAUAACAGGGAUAGGAUAAUGUUUUUGGCUAUUCUCUCCUAGAUAGGAAUAGAAUAAUUUUGAAUGAAUCUGGAGAUGAACAUGAGUGGAUAUAUGUGGAUGCGUACUUCCGGAGUAGAAGCAACAUGUAUGAGUGAACGUGCAAGUGAAUCUUGAUUUAACCACAUGACAAGCUCCUAAGGGUAUACACAGCUUGACCACACGCAAUGCUCAUAAGCAGUAAAAAGUAAAUGUGUGGCUCAAAGUCUAGCAAGCAUGUAUAUAUGGCUGUGGUAGGAAUUUAAACUCUCAUCAUACAAGACCUCAUCAUGCAACAUUUUAAAGAUUUUCAAAGAUAAAAUUCUCCAGAAUUCUAGCAUCUCUAGGAACAGAUAAACAGCAGCUCAACCUUCCCAUAUCAUAUCCGUUAACUACUUAGACUUUAGAUCAAGUACUCUUCCUACAAGUUCAGGUUUAGAGCAAAGCUUAAUUAAUAACAGUCAUGCCUAAACUUGAGAGAGAUUUCAAUUUUGAGAUUUAGUCAUGGCAGAGCAACUAUUCAUCAUUUCCAUGUGAGAGCUUAUCAUGAGGGUUCAUAGCAAACUUUAUUUAUUUAUUUAUUUAGCAAACUAAGCAAAGAUAUAUAUAUAUGAGCACAAAAUCUUUAUUUGGGUUUUUUAUGAUUAUGCAUCUUUUUAUUAUUAGUGUAAAGUAUAAACGUGAGUAGAAUACUUAGCUGGAUAAAUGGGGGUGCUCUCCCCCAAGCUGGAUUUUGACAUAAUUUUUUCUGAUGUAGCUAGCAGGUGGCGGAGGUGUAUUGAAUGUCGGCAGCAUCCUGACAGCGGUUAGGAUGUCCUCCGUCUGCUAGUCUUCUUUGAUCCUUGAAUUCUAUGGAGCUCAAAUAGACAACAAAGCUUUGUGGAACUAGUUAAGUGUUGGCAUAAAAUCUCUUAGCCUUUAUCAUGUUGAGCCUCCUCAAUAAAUGUUACACUCUUUGGUAAAAUCAUAAAUUUAUUUUUAUAUUUUUAUUUUUAUUGGACAGGAAUAUAUUUAUUUUAUUUUUAUGCCACCACAGUGAAUGUACUUAUGGGUUUUAUGCCAUGAGCAUACUCACAUGGGGCUUACUAUUUUUAACAUUUUUAUUUUCUUUUCAAGAUGAUAUAAACCUGAUUAACUAAGCUAACUAUUUUAAAAUAAUUGAAAGGAAAAGGAUAACUACCAAGUUUACCUCUUGGCAAGGCAUUCGGUGUUUUUAAGUCCUCCAAACGGUACUCUCCGUUUUCUCAGUCGUCCUGGGAUUCGCUGGAUGGCAUAGUCGGUGGUUCCGGCAGAGCCUGCUCUUCGUGUAUAACUAUCUUCUCUCUCCACACCUGACUCGGUGCUACGGUCUCCUCAGGACAGUUCUGUUCAAGCUGUAUGUCUUCAGACCUCACUACUUCUCCUUCGUAGUCUAUCCAUCCGUCCUUGAUAAUUUGCCUCCUCUGGUUGCGGUUGCGUUGUCUUCUUCUUGUCCUGACCUGCUUAGAGUCUUCAACUAUAUAGUUAGGGUCAGUAAAAUAGAGGCGUACCUUCUCAGAGGGGAAGUUCAUGUGGACUUCUCCGGUUCCAAUGUAGAUGAUUGCUUUAACGGUUCCGAGGAACGGUCUUCCAAUUAUGACGGGUGGAUCGAAUUCGUCUUCUCCCAUGUCAAUAACCUUAAAAUCAUCUGGAGCUGAAUGUAUGUCGGUUUUAGGGGCAUGGUUCCAUGCAGGAUCUGAUAAGUGACUGAGGCCAUUAUGUUGACGUCAGAUCCGGUGUCGUAAAGUGUCUUCUGAAAAGAAUAUCCGUUGAUUGUGCACUCGAUGCCUGGAACACCAGGGUCAUCCUUCUUGAUCAAGAAAGGCGACUUGAGUUGACGAUCUUGACCUCCUUGAACUGCAGUGACCAUCUUAGCUGACUUGGUCCACAUUUGCUUGUUCCUGUCCCUCCUGUUGGUCCUCUUCCUUGGUUCAUGUCGGGAUUGCUCUGAGAUUUGUGUAGUCUUGUUCUUGAAGGAAAACGUCUCCUUCCUCCCCUUGAUGUAGAAACUGAUCUUGGCAGCACUAAUGUAGAUGAUAGCUCCCGAGGUGUUCAGGAAUGGCCUCCCUAAGAUGAUGAGUGCCCUCUCAUCAGUACCAAUCUCUAUCACCACGAAGUCUGCUGGAGCAUAUAAGGUACCAACUCGGACGUAGAGGAUCUUCAAUAUUCCCUUUGGGAAACUUAGUGUCCAAUCUGCAAGCUGCAAACACAUGGAUGUUUCUAAUAAAGGAUGUGUAAAGAAUUUUUCAUAGAGUACCCUGUGCAUAAUGUUGACGCUGGAGCCAAAGUCACAGAGUGCUUCUGGGAAGUCCACCAUGCCGAUGGAGAUCGGGAUGACGGGGCGUCCUGGAUUGCCUCUCUUGACCGGCACAAGGUCAGUAAUUACUUCCACAAUAGUGCUACUCUAGAAGUUACGUCCUUAAGCAUCUCAGGGCAGUGAUUGCCUGACUGUCUAGUAUCUCCAGUGUGUUUGUGCUCGUAGAUCUAGGUUCUUCACUUGGUGGAGUCUGGGAGUUGUAAAACUCCUUCAUAUUUUGCUCGAAGUGUACCUGCUUAUAGAGACAAGGCAGAGAUCAAGUGCAUGGGCCCUGUUGGUGAAAAACACCAACAGAACCAAAAGUGUAUUUGUUCUUCUCUAACCUUAAGCAUAGUGAGCAAGACAAAGUUGAUGGAUAAUAAAAUCAUGAGUGUAGCAUUUAAAACAUUUGUCAGAUCCGAUCGCUCAACCUAAUGGAAAGAUAAUCUAUCUAUAUUUAUGUUGUUUUUUUUAUAAAAUAUAUCUUCCAAAGAUUGAGUGUGCAACAUUUUAGGUCAUAUGAUUAGGAGUAUGGGAUCACAAAGGUGGAAGGACUAAACAUAUUGAAUCGAUUGGGUUGGUUAAUCUAGAGUUGUAAAUCAUACAUGUUUGUCUCUUUUAUUCAUGUGAACGCCAGAACCAAGGAGAAGCUUAUAGAAGUGAUAGUCAAGUACCUUAAGAUAUUACCUUACUUGAAGAGUGAUGGUACAAUAUCACCUUGUGGAAGCUUUCCUUUCUUAGCGGUUGUGCAUCGUGUUUGUAGCACCCUCCAUGGAUCAUCUCUUGUGAGCUAUGCCUUUCUUGUGUAAAUUGUUAACCUUCAUGCAUCUCUCUCUUUGUCUCCAAUGUGAGUUUAUCUCAGGACUUCCCAGGUUAAUAUUGAAAGUUUUCCUGCAGGGGUUAGUCUAACAAAAUAUCCAAUAUCUACUAUAGCAUACUAUCGGCUCAAAGAUCAACCUAGACACCAUGUCUAAUUUGAUUUAGGAGGGCAUUUUAACCUAAGCAUCAUGCUUAAUUUAAACUCCCUUGGAAGUAAGAUCAUCAGCCCUAAACUAAGCACCAUGCUUAAAUAAGAGAUAAAUGAAACUACUCCAAACCUAGACAUAUACUAAAGCAAAUAAAGGUAGCAUGAGAGCAUUUAUAGAGAUCUACUCAAGUGGAGAUGAAGUAGUGUGAUUAGUAUUUAACAAAUUGAGCAUGUCUCAAAGGUAGGGAAAACCAACAUAGCAACAUGGCAAAGGAUGUUUUUAUGUAAAGUACUCCCCCAAGCUUGAAUUUUGCAAAAUUCAAGUUUGGAUGAAUUUAAUUCAAUGUUGUAUGAUGAUUGGUUGGACAUACCUUGUGCUUGUCAUUCAUCUGAUCUUCUUGCUCCAAUCCUAGGAAGGUUAGUGACAAGAAUACCCGAAGGAAUAUUUUUACAAUUAUCCUGAUAUACUCAACACACAAGGUAAUGUUGCAAAUAAUUAAAAGUUUAUGUUAUGGUCUGAUCAGUGCUUAUUUUAGGACGCUAAGCUUGUCCUUGGGAAACCAUCAAUUUAUGUCAAUGAAGUGGUUUGCCCUCCAAAGCUGACCUAUAUCAAGAUCAACUCAACGAGAUCUGCAAAAUUUAUUAUAGACAUAUGCAUCGACAAUCGCCCUUUUAAAGUUUUUAUGAAUAGAAUGGAAGAGGGGGUUGGAGAUCUCGAAUGUGGUGAUGUUGGAGAGACCAAUGGAUUGUGAAGAUGUUGCAUAUGAGCAUGGAGUAAGUGAAGUGGCUAUGAAAUAAAUUCCAUGCUCAUUAAUGCUUAGAGUGAAAUCCAUGUGGUAUGGUGAAAAUGAUAAGGUGAGUGUGGUAAAAAAGGAAAAGAAAAAGGAUACACGGACGACUUGGUUCGAAACUAGCACAACUACCGUUCCCCGGCAACGGCGCCAGAAAGCUUGUUGGGUAUUUUAAACGCAAACAGAAAAAUCCGCAAGUGCACGGAUACCGAUGUAGCUUUCCCCCGGGAGUAUUCCAGAGUAUCGAUUUUCCACAGAGAACGUGAGUGUACUAAUUAAGAUCCAAGAUCGCCCAAGGAUAACUAUAUAAUUAUUUUUGGUGGGAAGAGAGGAAGUUUCCUGAGAGUUCUUUAGUUGAUCUAAGAAUUAAGAAUUACUUCCAAGAUUAUUUAUAUCGGGACAUCAGAGCACUAACCACAGAAAGAGAUGAGAAGGGGGCUAGGAAGGUCUGACUACGGUCCUACAAACACCGAUCCGAACGAGGUGGAAUACGUCGACCGUUAGGGCUGUCACUACCCUAAGGCUACCACAACAAUCCGCAGGAUUGGGUGCAAUUCCAGGUAAUCGCAAGACUAAACACCACGUCUAAUCUAUUAAUUACUACUCUAGCAUUAUAAAGACUAGAGCACUUGAUGCAAGCGAGAAUCCAAUAAAUAACUUGAAUGCAAAUAAAAGUAAUUAAAGAACUCAGGAAUUAUGAGUUGAAGAACCUGGAGAACGAUGAAGAAUGAACCAGUUGCUGCAAAAGUAAAAUGUUGAGGAAGAUCUGACAGAUCCGGCUCCUCCUCCGCUCUCCUCUUCUCUCUCCCUAUUUUCUAGAUUACAACUAGAACUAACUAGAACUAGAACUAGAGGAACUAGAACUAGAACUAGAUGAACUAGAACUAGAUCUAGAUGAACUAGAGGUAGAACUAGAAGAACUAGAGGGAUCCUCUCUACUUGGAUGAAGAAUUGAAACCCUAACUUUGAUUCUGUAGAAGAGGUAUGAUCUCCAGGGGCCAGGGGGCCUUGCUUAUAUAGUCUUUUCAGAUGAAUCUGGGCCGUCGAAUCAAACCGACAUUGAUCGUGUGGUUUUCCUUGAAGUAUUAGGUCGGUGGAGCAUGAUCCGCGAAACGUGUCCUGAUUGGGCACUGUAGCUGGGCGGGCGCCCAGGAGAGUUGGGCGGGCACCCUGCCUCCGAGCCCGAUUUCCUUCCCGUUCGUUCCUGUGGCUUCUGGAGUCUUCUAGAUGAUAGAAAAUUGCGCGACACGUUAAUAUCUCUAUGUAAACCCGACGUGUGGGCCUUUCUUCCGUAUUUCCUAAUAACCCCCUGCAGAAAUAGACAAACACCAAAACUCGUGGAAUUCUGUCAGAUAAAACCCUAAGUCUAGGUGUUGGUUGCAUUUGGAUCCUUUUCCAUGAUUAGUUGAUGAUUAAAUAUGAGCAUUAAGGACCGUCAAUAGUAAUGGACUUUAAUAAUUAAUUAGGUGUAUUAGUAAAGACAAAGGUUGCAAAUCAAUUAAUACCAUAUCGCUAGUUGAUGUGGAGGUGGGGAGUUUUUCUCCCUAUAUAUAUAUGUACCAACCCCUUAGGCAAAGCACAUCAAAGACUAUCAUAUGGGAAGCCUCUAAUUUGAGAAUUCCUAAGGUAGUAAAAUAAAAAUUAGAUUUUCUUCUCUACAACGUGAUCGCCAUCGUCUCGCCUAUACACGACAUCUACGAGCGGUCGGCUGCUCCGGCGUUGCUGUAGCUCCAAGAAAGCGUCGCUGCCAUUGAACCUGCUCCCUGUCCACUAACGUAAGCCCCAAUCACUUUGCCUUUCAGUUUGGAAAAUGCAAACAGCUCGGUUUUAGAUUUAAAAUACGUUUUCAUGAAUUAUAAGUUUGCCACUGAAACAGUUUUGCCCAUAAAAUAUUUAUUUUAAUUCUAUUUUGACCCAUUCAAAUUGCGUUAGGUUCAUAAUCAUGAUCUCUACAUGUUAGUAAAAUUAGUUACUCAGUUUAAAACUUUCUAGUUUCGUGAUCCUAUUUAAUUAAUUAUUUAUCUGUAGGAAAUCUUAGAAAAUUCAUAUCUUCUCCGUUUCAACUCUGAUUUUCGUGAUCUUUACGUCUAUGAAAUCGUAGCGAUGCGUAGAGUCAUUUUAUAAACUUUUCAUACUGUUUUUAUAUGAUUGAUGUAUUGUUCUAAUUAUAGCUUAGUUUGCUUCGUGUAUGUUUUUCUUCGAUUGUUUGUGUGAUUGAUGAUCGGAGUUUAGACGGUGAGCAAUUCGUGGUGAUCAAGAGUGCUUCAGUGAUCAAGAUCAGAGCUUGGACAAUAAGUAAAGACAAACAGAACCAAAAGGAUCAGCAAGAGCAAUUGGAUUAAGGCAAGUAUAGCAUUUGGAUUUUAUUUCCGUGACUAUGAUCUUGUGACUAGAUUAAUGUUAAGUAAUAAACAAUAAAAAUGACUUUUUAGCCACUUGAUGAUUUAUCUGUAAGUGAUAACCGGGACAACAGUGCAACCAUAAGGGCUAUAAUGGCUCUGGCUUUAGUUAAGUAUGAGAAACUUUUCUAGCUCGUUAGCGGUUACCCAUGUGGCGCAAUUGGGGAAUAGCAGACCGUGGAUUCCUGCGGGUGAAUCACAUGGACUGACUAAUGAAACCAAGCGGCCCUAACUUGUUAGACGAACCUUUGAAAGACUUCAUAGUGAUCCCUGCCGACCUCCCUUGGAAGGGGGUUAAGAGAUUAGCUACCUCGGGCGAAAGGGUAAAUCAUGACUCAUGGGUAAAGAUGUAUAACCUCUGCAGAGUGUUUAAAACUGGUAUACUAGCCAUGCUCACGGUCAAGAGCGGCCUUGGGGAUUCUUGCAUCGACGAUGAUGAUUCUUGUGUGUUAAAUAUGUUCAUUAUUUAUUAUUUAAUGCUUUACAUUAUUUAUGUCACAUUGAUCAUGAGAUUGUUGGAGCUAUACAAUCUAGUUGCUAUACUUGUGGAGUUCGACAUGGACUCACUCUUGCUAUUUCCCCCAAACCUCAGGAGAAGAUUAGGCUUGUGAUCAACCAGUCAGUUGGAUCCUGUAGAGAGAAGUUAAUACUCGAAGUUGGAGUUGUUUAUCCACUGUUUGUUAUCAAAGGUUAUCUCUUUUAUAUUAUGAACGAUAUAUAUUUAUGCAUUGUCUUUUGAUAUUACCCCUUAUUUGUAGCUAUAUGUGAGAUUUGACUUCUAAAACUCAUAUAUGGUGCAUAUCUAAUUUUGUCCAUAAAGUCGGGUAUUACAUAACUUGUCUUUCCAUGCCGUUCCCAUUUCAUUUACUGUCUUCUGAAGAAUAUUCUUGAUUUGCUUGUUGGAAGUCUCUGCUUGGCCACUUGUUUGAGGAUGGUAGGGGGUAGCGACAUUGUGACGAAAUCCAUAUUUUGAUAGAUAUUGCUUGAACCGUUUGUCGAUGAAGUGUGCUCCUCCAUCACUUAUCACUAUUCUGGGGACUCCAAAUCUUAGAAAUAUAAUUUCUUCAAACAUCCUCUUUGAGCUGAUGUUGUCGGCGUGCUUGCAAGGUAAUGCCUUUACCCACUUGGAGACGUAGUCAACUGCCACCAAGAUGUACUCACACUUCUUUGAUGGGGAAAAUGGACCCAUGUAGUCUAUUCCCCAGACAUCAAAGAGCUCAAUCCGAAGGUUGUUAGUGAGUGGCAUGGCAUCCCUUGUGUUUAUGUUUCCAUGCCUUUGACAUGGCCCACAUCUUCUGAUAUAUUGCUUCGUGUCUUCAUACAUUGUAGGCCAGUAGAAUGCACACUGCCAGAUAUUUGAAUGUGUAUGUCAUGCUCCAUAGUGACCUCCAUAUGGUGAUGAAUGACAUCUGUCAAUGAUCUUCCAUCCUUCCUCAGUGGUCACACAUCUCCUGAGUAAGCAAUCAGAGCAUACUCGGAAGAGGUAUGACUCAUCCCAUAUAUGUGAACGACUUUCUUGAAUAAGCUUCUUCUUGUUUGCUCCUGGUGGUACAUACCCUGAAACCAAAAAAUUAACAAUAUUUGCAUACUAGGGGUCAGACCUGUUAAUCCCCUAGAGCAUGUCGUCCCGGAGUGAAUCAUUGAUGGGGGUUUCCCGUGGACUCUUAAAAUACAUUCUAGACAAGUGAUCAGCAACAGAAUUUUCUACUCCCUUUUUAUCUUUUAUUUCCAAGUCAAAUUCUUGAAGUAAUAAGAUCCAUCUAAUCAGGCAAGGUUUAGCAUCUUUUUUAGUGCAGCAUGAUCAGUGUAAACAAUUAUUUUAGCUCCAACUAAAUAAGUUCUAAAUUUAUCAAUGGCAAAGACAACAGCCAGAAGCUCUUUUUCAGUGGUUGCAUAAUUUAGUUGAGCUCCUGUCAAAGUUUUACUCGCAUAAGCAAUUGCAUGACGCUUCUUAUUUUUAGUUUGUCCCAAAACUACCCCCACAGCAUAAUCACUAGCAUCGCACAUAAUUUCAAAAGGCAACGACCAAUCAGGGGGUUGAAUGAUUGGUGCAGAGAUGAGUGCAUUCUUUAAUCAAUUGAAAGAUGUUAGACAUGCAUCAUCAAAUUCGAAAAGAGCAUCCUUGGCUAGCAAAAGAGUAAGUGGUCUAGCAAUGAAUGAAAAAUCUUUUAUGAAUCUGCGAUAAAAACUAGCAUGGCCAAGAAAGCUUCGAAUUCCUUUUAUGUUGACAGGUGGAGGUAGUUGUUCAAUUACUUCAAUUUUAGCUUUGUCUACCUCAAUACCUCUCUCAGGAACUAGGUGUCCCAGCACUAUUCCUUCCCUAACCAUAAAAUGACAUUUUUCCCAAUUAAGGACUAAGUGCUUUUCUUCACAUCUUUGCAAAACCUUGUCUAAGUUUUCAAGACAACUAUCAAAAGUUUUUCCAUAAACAGAGAAAUCAUCCAUGACAACUUCCAUAAUCUCUUCAAUCAUAUUUGACAAUAUAGACAUCAUGCAUCUUUGAAAAGAAGCUGGCGCAUUACAUAACCCAAAAGACAUUCUACGGCAAGCAUAAGUUCCAUAUGGGCAUGUAAAAGUGGUUUUGAUUUGAUCAUCGAGAUGGAUCAGGAUCUGGUGAUACCCUGAAUAUCCAUCUAAGAAACAUAAGAACGAAUGGUUCGCUAAUCGCUCUAGCAUCUCAUCUAUGAAAGGUAAAGGAAAAUGAUCCUUUCUUGUGGCUUUAUUCAGUUUCCUAUAGUCUAUGCAAAUCCGCCACCCUCUGACGGUGCGUUGCGGAAUUAGCUCGUUCUUUUCAUUCAUAAUAACAGUCAUGCCUCCCUUUUUAGGCACAACUUGAACUGGGCUCACCCACUCACUGUGCGGCACAAGAUAUAUAAUCCCUGCAUGCAGAAAUUUUAUAACUUCCUUUUUAACUACCUCUCUCAUCGUGUUGUUAAGUCUACGUUGAGGUUCUCAAGAAGGUGAAACAGAAGGAUCUGUUGGAAUACGAUGCGUACAAAUCAUAGGAUUGAUUCCUGUAAGAUCUUGGAGUGAGUAGCCGAAAACUGAGUGAUGUUUCUCAAGAAUGGUCAUUAAUCGCAGAGUUUGCUCCUGAGUGAGUUUAUCACUAAUGAUCACAGGAAACUGUGGAUUAUUGUUUAGGAAAGCAUAGAUAAGACCGGGUGGUAAAGUUUUAAGCUCUAUUGGAGGUCUAGGCGUUUCUGCAAACUCAUCUAAGGGUUCAGGUUCAGAAGGUUCGGCCUCUUCUUCUGUGAAGAAAGGAGCUUCGUCUUCUAAGUCUGGUUCAUCUAAAAGCUCUAGAGAUACAGCCUUUACCUCCUCCAUAGGAUCAGGCAAAAGAUAUGACUCGGCCUUAUUAUUUAAGGAGUGUGAAUUGUUAUUGGGAAUUUAAAGGUUUUUCCAAAAGAAAUGUGUAGCUUUCCAGUAUGACCUUCAUAAAGGAGUCUUCUAAAAGGUUGUCCUAUCAAUAGGUCGAAGUCCCAUGUAUCAAAGAUAUAGAAGUUCAAAUGAACCAUGGAGCCUUCUACCAUAAGGGGUAGGACAUUAAUAAUUCCAAGACUGGGGACUAAUCGUCCCGAAGAUUCCUUUAUGACCUUCAUUGUGGGGGUUAAGACAAGAUUUUUAAAUAAUUUAAGUGCAAAAGAUUCAGACAAGAUGUUGAUCCCCACAAUAGGAUUAUAGAGAGCAUCAAAUUGAUCAUAAUCAUAAGCACAACGUAUAGUUAUAGAGGGUGUGUCCAAACGGAUCACAUCAGAGGAAAGCUCUGACUCCUCCAACCAUUCGCUACUCAUGACUGUGAUAAGCUCUCUUAAUUGAUGUUCACUUGGUAAACAAAUGCUAAAAUGGCCGUUUUGGGGUCUGUUAAUAGAAUGGUAGUUUGAAAUGUUUCCAAAAUCGGCAAAAAGAUCAGAUUCUAUAUCCAGCAUGAGAUCAGGUGGUGGAAUUUCUUCCUUUUGUGGCUCAGAACUUGGGAUAGCUAAAGUAGAUGGAGAAUUUGGCAGAGUGUCUACUUCGGCUUCGUGGGUUUCAUCAUGAAGGGUAUUAUCCAUCUCAGCUUCUAGGAUUCUAUCUAUGAUCACUCUAGCAUCAUCAGUAGGGAUGCGAAAGAAAGAACCUCUAGACAUUGUAUGUAGCAUUUGUUUAUGACCUUUCUGAAGACCUCAAAAAAGUGGAAUAAAAGAACAGGGUCUUGAAGAUUAAGGUUUGGACCAGAUUCUAAAUGAUCAAAAAAACGUUUCUAGGAUUUUCCCAAAGUUUCAUUAUCUUUUUGUUUAAAAUAUAGGACUUCGAGUCUAAGGUCGCUGAUACGGUCGAGGGAAUAAAAAUCUAGACAAAAGUUGGCUCGUAAAACUCCCCAUUCACCUUGUUGUUGACUUACUUUCUGACUGUACCAUUGUCUAGCUUCUCCCCUUAAAGAAAAAGGAAAAAGCUUCCAACGUAAAGUCUUAUCAGAAAUGCCCUCAAUGCGAAGACAAUCACAUGUUUGCUCAAAAUCUCUAAUAUGAAGGUAAGGGUUUUCGUCUUCCUUUCCUGAAAAAGAUAGGUUUUGAAUCAUGACAAUCAACCUAGAACUUAACCUAUACUGGGAUGUUUGGAUAGGCUAUGACGACUCCCAUGGUAAAAGGUCAGUUACUAAAGGGAUUGCAGAUUCAUGGAUCGAUUUGGAAUUUUGGUUUUCCAUAAGGUAAGAGUAAAGAAAAUAAAUAAAGAAUAUAAAAGAUAAGAAAAGAUAAAAGUAUAGAUACAAGCUAGUAGUAAGACUCAAGGUUAUCUCAGCAAACCGUCUUUCUCCCCGGCAACGGCGCCAGAAAUGCUUGUUGAUAUUUGGGAACGCAAUAAGGAAUGGAUCCGCAAGCGCACGGAUAUCGGUGGGCACUUCUCCCGGGAGGUUAACCAGAGUAUCGUAUUUAUUUUUUUACUACUAGGAGAAAGAUUGCAUCUGACUAACCUAGUCUAUUACUACUAACAUUUAGGCUAAAAAGAAUGUUUCUCGAUGUGAGUGAUAUAUAGAGAAGACUACAACCGUAAUCUCUUUCUAACCUUGGUAAGUAUGAUCUACUAUUCUAUUGGGGAGGCUUACGGAAUCUAGACACCACAGAGGAUGUUCAACCUGCACCUAUAAACCCUAUCCUUCCUGCUAACGAGAUAUGGCUUGCAAAGGUAACUCGGAAAUGUCACGUUCCUCUCUACUACCACGGUCCAGCUAGACAGGGAAUAUCUAUGAGUAUCCUAACCCAAACACCACGUCUACGCUAGAGAUGAUUACUCUAAACUCUACGCGAAGAGAUUAAAGUAAACUCAUAAACCAAAGAAGAAUAAAACAAAGAUUACCGAUAUGGAAUCAGUAAAAGGGUGGCCCGAUCUUCACGACAGUAGAUCAAAAGAACAAGGAUAACUUGCUACCAACAGCUGGUAACUAGCUUUAUAUCUGACAAAGGUUGGAUGCGACCAAGCGACGGGGAGAGAGGCACCGAAACCACGAAAACUUUGACUCGAUCUCCGAACGACUGCAUAACCACAAUCCGAAACUAAUCCACACAAUACGGCGCAGCCGAACGGAAGCCGUAGAGCACGAAGUAGGAGAACCCAGAGGAUUGACUUCACAAGCCCAUGAAGAACAAGGAAGAACAAAGGUUGAGUAAGGCACUCAGCAGCGCGGCUGCAAUAUCAUGUAGUUUAUCAAAAUGAUCAAAGGUUGCUGAUAGCUUAGAGGUAGGGGAUAUUUAUACUAGGAACAACCCUCCUAGAUAGGUAUGAAAACGAAAUAGAGUUUCUGAGGGAAGGCAAUGUGAAAGGUCCCCUCGGACUGGAUUCCCAGACUGGCUUCGCGUGACUGUUGGCCUCCAGAGCAGUUUCCAAUAAACUGACCAUAACUUUUUAUAGGGAAGUCCAAAUGACAAACUGUUUCUUAGAUGUGAAAUUAGACUCCAAGAGCUUUCCAGCAAUGUAUGCCAUGCACCACGAACGUUGUAGAUUGCUACAGUUUUGCACGGCAAGUUUUACCAACAUUCUAUCACGACACACUAUUGACCUUCUGAGCAGUCUGUACUAAUUCUGGUCUGCAGGCAAUAUAGAGUAUCCAAACUAGUCACCACUAGAUGCAUUGGAAAGUAGACUCGUCACGCUUUCCAACAAGUGCUCAUGGACCUUCAUAGCUUUUGUGAGUAAAAAGUUAUGAAGAUUUCUUUGCAUUGGACCGUUUUUGACUUCCACUGGUCCGUUUUUGACUUCUUCUAGAACUUGCACUGGUCCGUUCUUCAGGGUCUGAUUUAUCCUUCUCUUCUUCAAUAUACCUUAGUACAAUCAAGGUAGAACACUUAGGUAGUAUAUAAUUCUCAUUAGUGUUAAAAUCAAUCUCACAAAGUAGCGCGUGGACCUCUUGUUGUAGCUUCUUUGCACGACUACGUGUAACCGGUCCAUCGAUGACUUGGGCUGGUGUCGGUGUAGGUAAAACUUGAGUGGUUGUAGCUUGACUUGGAGCUUGUGACAUCUUGCUUACUGGCGUGGUCAUAUCACUUACGGAAUCUAGACACCACAGAGGAUGUUCAACCCGCACCUAUAAACCCUAUCCUUCCUGCUAACGAGAUAUGGUUUGCAAAGGUAACUCGGAAAUGUCACGUUCCUUGCUACUACCACGGUCCAGCUAGUCAGGGAAUAUCUAUGAGUAUCCUAGCCCAAACACCACGUCUACGCUAGAGAUGAUUACUCUUAACUCUACGCGAAGAGAUUAAAGUAAACUCAUAAACCAAAGAACAAUAAAACAAGAACUUACUAGAAUUUAGAAGUCAAAAUACUGAAGAAUCCUAGGAGCAAGCUUCGGGUUAGGAGAACUUGAUCCCACAGGUACAACCUCGGAGUAGACACCGACAGGCCGGGCUUCCUCCGAUCUACACCACCACUCUAUCUCUCUCAAUCUAGUAGAAACUAGAAGAUCUAAUUCCACUCACAUUGGAUGCUAAGCCCUAAGUCUAUUUAGAGGAGAGGUAUUCCUUCGAGGGCUCCUCUCAACUCUAUGAUGAACUUGUUCUCCUCCAGGGGCCAGGGGGUCUGGUUUUAUAGACCCCUCAGGUAAACGUGGGCCGUUGGAUCAACCGACAUUGAUUGAACGGUUAUCCUUGAUCCUUUAGGUCGGUGGAGCGUGAUCCGCGAAAAGAGUUCUGAUUGGAAUCCAGAGGGGGGCGGGCGCCCUGGUCCCUAGGGCGGGCGCCCUGGGCUAGGCCCCUUUCGGUAUCCGCUUUGUUCCCGUGGCUUCUGGAGUCUUUUAGAUGGUGGAAAAUUGUGCGGUGCGUUGAUAUCUCUAUGUAAUCCCGACAUGUGGGCCUCACUUCCUUAUUUCCUGAUAACCCCCUGGAGAAACAGAUAAACAACAAAACUCAUGGAAUUCUGUCAGAUCAAACCCUAAUUCUAGGUGUUGUUUGCAUAUUGGUCCUUUCUCUUGUUUAUUUGAUAAUUAAAAUUGAUACUUAAGAACCGGCAACAGAUGCGUACUCCCGGAGUAGAAGCAGCAUGUUUGAGUAAACGUGCAAAUGAAUCUUGAUUUAUCCACAUGACAAGCUCCUAAGAGUCUACACAGCUUGACCACACUCAAUGCCCAUAAGCAGUAAAAAGUAAAUGUGUGGCUUAAAAUCUAGCAAGCAUGUAUAUAUGGCUUUGGUAGGAAUUUAAACUCUCAUCAUACAGGAACUCAUAAUGCAAUAUUUUAAAGAUUUUAAAAGAUAAAAUUCUCCAGAAUUCUAGCAUCUCUAGGAAUAGAUAAACAGCAGCUCAACCUUCCCAUAUCAUACCCGUUAACAACUUAGACUUCAGAUCAAGUUCUCUUCCCACAAGUUUAGAUUUAGAGCAAGCUUUAAAUUAUAACAGUUAUGUCUAAACUUGAGAGAGAACUUCAAAUUUUUAAAAAUUAGGCAGAGCAACUAUUCAUCAUAUCCAUGCUAGAGCUUUAUUAUUAAGAUUCAGUUUAGCAUAGCCACUUUAUUUAUUUAUUAAACAAACUAAGCAAAAGAUAUAUAUAUAUAUAUAAGCAUAAAAUCUUUAUUUGGUUUUCCGUAGUUAUGUAUAUUUAUAUUUUAAUAUAGUAUAACUAUAAAGAUAGAUAGAAAUACUUAGCGGGAUAAUUGGGGGUGCUCUCCCCCAAGCUGAAUUUUGACGUAAUUUCUUUUGAUGUAGCAAGCAGGUGGCAGAGGUGUAUUUGAAAGUUGGCAGUAUCCUGACAGCGAUUAGAAUGUCCUCUGUCUGCUAGUCUUCUUGAUUCUUAAAUUCUGUGGAGCUCAAAUAGACAACAAAGCUUUGUGGAGCUGAUUAGGUGUUAGCAUAAAUAUCUAGCGUUUAUCAUGUUGAGCCUCCUCAAUAAAUGUUACUCUUCUAUUUUUAUAUUUUCGUUUUAUAAAGCAGAAAAGAAAUAUUUAUUUUAUUUUUAUGCCACCACAGUGAAUGUACUUAUGGGUUUUAUGCCACUCGUAUACUCACAUGGGGCUUAUUAUUUUUUUUUCAUUUUUAUUUUCUUUUUAGGAUAGUAUGAACAUGAUUAACUAGGCAAAUUGUUUUAAAUAAUUUGAAAGGAAAAGGAUAACUACCAAGUUUACCUCUUGGCAAGGUGUUCGGUGUUUUUAAGUCCUCCGAACGGGACUCUCCAUUUUCUAGUUGUCCUGGGAUUCACUGGGUGGCGCAGUCGGUACUUCCAGUGGCGCCUCUUCUUUGUGUAUAAUUAUCUUUUCUCUCCACACCUGAGUGCUACGGUCUCCUCAGGAUAGUUCUAUUCAAGCUGUAUGUCUUCAGACCUUACAACUUCUUCUUCAUAGUCUGCCCAUCCGUCCUUGAUGAUUUGCCUCUUCUAGUUGCGGUUGCGUAGUCUUCUUCUUGUCCUGACCUGCUUAGAGUCUUCAACGAUAUAGUUAGGGUCAGUAAAAUAGCGGCGUACCUUCUCUGAGGGGAAGUGCAUAUGGACUUCUCUAGUUCCAAUGUAGAUGAUUGCUUUAACGGUGCUGAGGAACGGUCUUCCAAGGAUGACGGGUGGAUCGUAUUCGUCUUCUCCCAUGUCAAUAACCUGAAAGUCUAUGUAGACAAAAUGAUCGUUUAUUUUGAUAGGGACAUCAGUUACAAUACCUUUAACCUCUCGAAAUGUUUGAUCUGCCAUCUAGAGCUGAAUGUAUGUUGGUUUCAGGGGCAUGCUUCCGAACAAGAGCCGAUAGGUGACUGCGGCCAUUAUGUUGACGCCCGAUCCGGUGUCGCAAGUCGUCUUUUAGAAGUUGUAUCCAUUUAUGGAGCAAUAGAUGCUUAGCAUUCCUAGGUCGUCCUUCUUGGUCAGAAACGGUGACUUAAGUCGAUGAUCUUGUCCUUCAUGAACUGCAGUGACCAUCUUAGCUGACUCGGUCCACACUUGCUUGUUCCUAUUCCUCCUGUUGGUCCUCUUCCUUGAUUCAUGUCGAGAUUGCUCUAGGAUUUGUUUAGUCUUGUUCUUGAAGGAAAACGUCUCCUUCCUCCCUUUGAUGUAGAAACUGAUCUUGACAGCACUAGCGUAGAUGACAGCUCCCGAGGUGUUUAAGAAUGGCCUCUCUAAGAUGAUGGGUGUCCUCUCAUCAUUACCGGUCUCUAUCACCACGAAGUCUGCUGGGGCGUACAAGGUACCAACUCGGACACAGAGGUUCUUCAAUAUUCCCUUUGGGAAACUUAACGCCUGAUCUGCAAACUGCAAACACAUGGUUGUUUCUAAUAAAGGAUAUAUAAAGAAUUUUUCAUAGAGUACCCUGAGCAUAAUGUUGAUGCUAGAGCCAAAGUCGCAGAGUGCUUCUGGGAAGUACACCAUGCCGAUGGAGAUCGGGAUGACGGGGCGUCCUGGAUCGCCUCUCUUGACCGGCGUGGUUACUCCAGUAGUUACCUGCAUCAAACAUGUCUACAAGAUUUGCAGAUUCUAAUCCGUUCGGUUGUGAUGGUAUACCGGUGUUAGUAGCAGGAACAACAACAGCUAUUUGAUUUAACUGAGAUUCAAUCAUUUUAUUAAACAUAAUUUGAUUCUUGAUGGCAGUAGAGAAAUUAUCCAUUCUGUUAUUUAUAUUUUCUAGCAUUUUAUCAUUAGAUGCCAAUUUCUUAGAUGGGUUAUCCAUUAGCUUUCCUUGAUUAGACACUAACUCUCUCAAAGGUGGAAAAUUAUUAGUAUUAUUGUAAAAAUUGUUACCUUGAUAAUUACCUGAGUUGUUAGGUCUUUGUUGAUUCCAACCUUGAUUUUGUUGAGGACGGUUGUAGUAGUAGUAGUAGUUGUUGUUGAUGUAGUUCAUAUCGUCAAGCACCUCAGGGCAGUGAUUGCCUGACUGUCCAGUAUCUCCACACUCCUCACAAAUCAUGUGAGAGUCGUAGAUAUGCAUAACUUCUUUUUUAUCUCUAGCUCUGUCAUCGAGCUUCUUCAUGAGCAGGUCUAGCUUUGCAGAUAGCAUGUCUACCUCCUUGAGCUGAUGCAUACCUCCAUCUUUCUUACGUGUCUGGGUCCUCUCUUCAUUCCAGCUUUGGUUGGACGCCAUGUUCUCCACAAGAGCUAUGGCUUGUGAUAUAGUAAGCGAUAGGAAUGCUCCUCCAGCUGCAGCAUCCAUGGUCUCUCGAGCACUAUUGCCGAGCCCAUGAUAAAACGUCUGCAUCAGUAGCCAACUCUCCAUUCCAUGAUGGGACAUUCUAGGAUGUAGUCUUGGAAGCGCUCCCAUGCUUCUGGAAUAGAUUCAUCAUGUUGUUGCUGAAAACAUGUAAUUUUCCCACGGAGAGCAUUGGUCUUGCCCAUGGGAAAGAACUUAGCCAGAAAGUUCGUGGAGCAGAGUGCCCAUGUAGUAUUCUUCUCCUUUGUAGCGUAGAACCACUGCUUCGCUCUCCCUAACAGUGGGAAUGAGAAGAAGCGAAGUAUUAUAGCAUCUCUGGGGACUCCUGAUAUAGUGAAUGUGUUGCAAAUCUCCAGGAAGUGUUGGAGAUGAGCACUAGCAUCUUCAUGUGCCUUCCCACAGUACUGGUUGGAUUGCACCAUGUUGAUAAGUCCAGGUUUGAGCUCAAAGUUGCCAUCGAUCUCUGCAGCAGGUCCAGUGCGCAUGUUGUCCAUAGUGGGAGCUGAGAACUCACGGAUCGAUUUGUUCGCCAUGGCUUCGAAUUCUGAAGACAAGUUCCAGUGAUCUUCUUGAUUGGAUGAAGCUUCGUGCUGAAGUGUUGAUGAUCUCUUCAUGAGCUUGGCUCUUGUUUUUCUGAAUAAUGCUUUGGGAUUGUCAACAAAAUUUCCUAGAAGAUGUCUUCUAUUCAUACAUUACCCUGCAUAAGAUAAAAUAGAAAAAUAUCAGGGUAAAAUUGUAUGAGAGAAUUGAUAAGCUCAAUCAUAUAAGUGAUGCGAAUGAUGACUCAAAAUUCUAUAUUCAUUCUUGAUUAGUAAUCAACCUUCCCUGGCAACGGUGCCAAAAAUGCUUGUCGGGCAUUCUUAAUGUCACUACCAAAAGUAGACAUAGUUUUCUAAUUCUGAUAACGGCGCCAAAAAAGCCACACCUAUCUCCCAUGCCACUUAAGCGAAGUUGUCAUCCCCAGCAUGACAUGAAAGACGCGGUAUUGAAAUAUGCAAUUGCUCUUCUAAAUAAAUAAUAAAUGGGAUCUGCAAGCGCACAGAUUAAUACCGAUGUAGCAUUUUAACCGAGAAGUAUUCCAGAUAUCGUUAUUUAUAUUUUUACCACUAGGAAGGGAUUGCUAAACAUCAAUGUUGAUUAUAGAAUGGAAUAUAAGAUUGAGUAUAUAUCAUUGCAUGUAUAAUUGAGAACAUUUAUCUAUCUCUUUCAUACAGGGAUAAGUGUCACAUAAAGGAUAUCUAAAGUAAUGAAUGGUGACAAAGGUAAUUAAUCUGAUCAGCAUAACUUAGCCACAUAUAAAUAUGAUAAGCACCUCAAUUAGAUACUCUAGCAAGUCAUUAGCAUGGUAUUAGGACGAACUACAAGAAUAUUUCCUAAAUUAAUCUUAACUAUACAACCUAGCAUAUCAUAGUUAGUGCAGUUAUACUUAGCAAUCAUUGUGAGACAGGACUACGCCCAUUCAUAGUGAUAUUAUCAAGGAAUAUGAGAAACAUCGCAAUCACUCCCCUGUAAUAAUGUUGCUCUGCCAGCCCAAUACAUGAGAGGGGGACUAUAUAAGAAUCAAUGGAGCUGUCACUACCACGAACUACCCCGCGAUCUGGCAUAUAGGGUACAAUCGCAGAUAAAUACGGUAUAGGCAUCACGCCUACACAAUAUCUAUCAUUUACCCAUGGGUCCGAUGGAUAAACGCCAUACGAUCCUAAACAUGUAUAUAAUUCCAAUCUAACUAAGCCAAGUAUAUAACUAUGAUAAACUAAGAACAAUAUAAUUGCGAAUAUAAACAAGUAGAGCAAAGUCAUAACCAAUAUAUUGAAGUAGAACAAAGUCAUAUUCAUAAUAUCAAGUUACAAAGAUGAACAAUUGAAGAACAAUAGAGGAUUACCAAGAAUCCUCUUGACAGAUCCGGAAACCAAUCAAAGAUUGACUCCUUCUAGUUCUAAUCCUAUGUAGCUAUGCUAAUCUAGAGAUCUAAUUGAUGUGGUCGCUCUAGGGCUUGAUCAGAGGCUUCUUCUCCCUGAUGAAUAAUGAAUUAGGUUUGAGAGGUGCUCUCUUCCAGGGGCCAGGCGGUCUGGUUAUAUAGUCCUUCCAAGUGAAUGUGGGCCGUCAGAUCAAACUGACAUUGAUUGAACGGUUAUCCUUGAUCCUUUAGGUCGGUGGAGUAUGAUCUCUGAAGAGGACUUUGAUUGGGCACCAAAGGGGGGUGGGCGCCCUGGUCUCUAGGGUGGGCGCCCUGGGCCAGGCCCCGUUCUGCCUCCGCUUCAUUCCCGUGGCUUCUGGAGUCUUCUAGACGAUAAAAAAUUGCGCGGCACAUUAAUAUCACUAUGUAAUCCCAACGUGUGGGCCUUUGUUUCGUAUUUCCUGAUAACCCUCCUGCAGAAAUAGACAAACACCAAAACUCGUGGAAUUCUGUCAGAUAAAACCCUAAGUCUGGAUGUCGGUUGCAUUUGGAUCCUUUUCUUUGUUUAUUUGUUAAUUAAAUUUGAUACUUAAGGACCGUCAACAUGGACCGCAACCAACAAUCUCAGCGUAAUCCUAAUCAACAAUAGAGUGGACAGCAGACUCCAUGCUCGGGAAAUUCAAAUGCCACCUAUAUGAAGAGAAGUGCUCCCAAUACCCCUACUAGGCGUUUCCGCUAUAUAAUAAACACUGCAAUGGUACAUUUGAGAUUUGUCUACUUAUAUGUGCGACUGUUUCUGGGGCACAUAUGAGUCUUUUAUGCAUCCUAUUUUGUUCUUGAAAUAUGGGUGUGAUAUAGAAGUAGCUAAGAUCAAUGGACGAAGAGCACAUAAUGUUGACUUUAACUGCAUGACAAGUUCCUUAGCGUCUACAAAGCUUAACUACCCUCAAUGCUUAUAGGUUAAUAUAUAAGUCGAGAAUUUCCUAAUCUAGUAAACAUGAGUAUUUGGUUGUGGUAGGCAUUUUUAAACUCUCGUCAUAAAGGAACUCAUCAUAUAGACAUUUAAUAUUUCCAAAAUAUAAUUCUCCAAAACUCUAGUAUCUUUAGGAGAAAUAUGAUUGCAGCUCAAAACCUUCUUAAAUAAAUCAUUUGCUACAUAAAUGUUUAAGGCUCUGAGCAAAAUCUUAUAUCUAAAUAGUUGUGUCUAAACCUCGUGGAACUUGUUAGUUUCAAUCCCUACAACUGUGCUUUGUGGUUCAUAUCCCGUCAUAUCAAGCAAUAGUUGAUGGAUGGAAAUGAGCAUUAGUGACCAUCGACACAUAUAUGAAAAUAUAGUGUGCAGGAUAAUUUUAUAUAUAUGUAUAUAUGCACACACUUUAAUAUAAUAGAAAAUAAUGACACACUUACAGGAAAUAGCAGCUAAUGUGACUUUUGUCGAGAGAGUCCAGGUGGCAUUGUUGGUGUAAUUCUAGAAACUCGACAUAGAUAAUGUCAUUGCCAUGGAAGUAAUAGUGGUUUCUAAUUCUAACACAAAGAAAGAUCUGUUCCCCAUUAGAUUCCUCAUUGUACCACUAGUUUAGUAGGUACAUUUGCUUUACUAGUUCACAUAAAUUCUCAGGGUUAUAUAAGUUCAUAUUUCCUAUAAGGAUCCACUUCCGGAGCAGAUGGUCCUUGAGCAAGCACUGUGGCAAGGUCCAGACUAGUGUCCUUGUAAAACUGAUGAAAUCAUUCUGAGCCGACCUCUAGUAUGUCUAAGUUUGAACCAUAUCAUUAGAAAUGACAAGGGGGGAUUGAUUGUUGCGAUUGUUGUCUGAGUUGUGAAACACCUUUCCAUGCUCUCUUUUCUGUGCUACCUCAAAUGACUUGAUGAUGGAGUGGUCGUAGUCUAUUUGUUUCACGAGAGACUUAAGAGAGUCUAGUUUUAUCUGGCCCUCCUUCUUUCUUAGCUCAUUUGAACGUAGAUAGAAGUGUAUUGGCUCUGGCUUAUCUCUUGCUAGUUCAUACUUCUUUUUGUACUACAUUUUUUAAUUCGACAUCUUUAUUCUUCUAAGAUAGUUUCUAGGGAAUAACUAGAUGAGUUUUGGUGCCUUUGAACUUCAUUGCCAGUGCAUAGUACAAUGGCUUCAUUUGCAGAUGGACCUCUUAGGAGUUAGCCUCCUUGGAGACGGGAAAGUCAAUCUACACUUCCUUAGAGGCAACGACGGAGUUGGAGACUUCCUUGGAGGUGGUGGAGGAGUUAGAGCUGGUGGAGAUGUAGCAAUGCCUUCGAAGGUAUCAUCAUUGCCCUGAAGCACUAUGAUGAUCCAAAAAAGCAAUAAUUGGACUUAGGCUUGUAGAGGCCCUACUAUUUUGAGUACGAAAUAUAAUGAGAUAUAAUUGAAGUGAUAAUAUUAAUCAUGUCCAUAGGUAAUUAGUAAAAAAAUGUUUCAUUAACUUUUGUGCAUACCUAAUGUAUGCUCGUGUUGGUAUAAAUUAACUGCACCUUAAUAAUUAUUAUAAUCAGAUUAUCCGCAAGCGCAUAGAUAUAUACUAAUUAGCAUUGCACCAAGAUCAACCCAGUUUUAAUAUCAAACCCAAAGGAACAGUAGGUGAUUUAUGACUUAGCCUAUAAUUUCUUAAUCUAAGGGGGCACAAACAAUCUAAAAACUAUUGAUGAUGAGGAAAUACUAAUGUACUCUGGUUCCAAUAACCGGUAAAGUUCGUAUAACAUCGUCUUCUCGGGCAAGUUACCCAAAUAGGGGAAGAAUCAGAGUAAUCCCAUAUAAAGCACCUAUAAGCCUAUGAAUCCUAUCAACAGGAAGUGGACUACAGAGGAAUCAAUUCAGCUAUAAAGUCACCUACGCGAACUACCACUAUCCAGCUGAUCAGGGGACAUUCACAAGCAAAGCCCAGACACCACAUCUACGCUACGAAUCACUACUCCAACGUAGGAGCUACCCAAAUCAAAGUACUCAAUGUAAUAUAAGUUGCAAACCAAAGAACGAAUACAAACAAGUUGCUUACUUGAAUCAGAAGGGUAAAUACAAAAGUACCUCAAAACGCGGUUCCAGGCGAGGGAGCCGAAUCCAGACGAAUACAGCUCGUGAGGAAGCUCUGCCAAGCCGGGGCUCCUCCGAAUCUCUACUCCGCUACUCUAUCUCUCUAAUCUCUUUCUUGAUUGCUAGCCUAGAGCUAGUGGAUCUCUAUCUAAUGCUCUGGCUCUUCAUCUCUUGAUCUGGCAUCAUCCAGGGGGGUCUUGCCUUCUAUUUAUAGCCUGGUGGGGUGAACGCGCGCCAUUUGAUCAAACCGACUUAACAAGUGGUCGAGAUGGCUCCCCAGAGGCGACGGAGGAAGCUUCCAGAAGGGGAGAGCAAACUCUAGUAGCAGGGGGCUGGCCGGCGCUAGGGUGGGGCCGACCAGCCCACCUGGCGACUGCUGGCUCCCCCCUCGUGUCGGGUGUCUUCUAGAGUGUUCGUGAAUCCUCCAGUGUCAUCCUUUCGUCGCGGCUAAGUUUCGUGGCCGGUUAGCACUUAAAUCCCUCUUUUCAACACUUUCUGAAAUAAUCUCUAGAAAACAUAGAUUAUACAAAACUCGUGCAAAUUGUUAGUGAUAACCCUAUUCUACUAGAUAUUCAUUUCUGGUGGAGAAAUAAAUGCUAACACAUUUUGUAAAUUAAUUAGUGUCAACAAUUACCUCCACACUUGGGCUUUUACUCGUCCCGAGAAAAAGUUGAUUUUAUCAUACUUCAUAACUUGGAAAUUAAAUUAUAUAAAAACUGAUCUAGUCAUCAUGUACUAUGGAAAUUUAAAGUGCUUAUCAUGAAUUUUAUAGUUAUUGAAGAGUGGGAUAGCUUAAAAUAGAUUACUCUCUUCCUUAAAUUUUGUCUACUAUAGAGUGAAGUUCGUAGAUAAAACAUAGCUUCAACCUUCUAUUAAUUGUAGUGGCAUCAAUGAUUGUGAUAUUAAUUUGAUGUUAUAACCAGGGAGGAAAAUAUCAUAUUCCUGUAUCAGACAAAUUAUCCACUUCCUUAGCAUAUUAUGUAUGAGGGACCAUAAGCUCUCUCUCUUUCUCUCUCUUUUUUUCAGAUCGAGGUUCUGGACACUUGUCCCUUUUUAUUUCCUCGUGAUCUAUCAUUUUUUGAGGUUUUGGACACUUGUCCCUUUUUAUUUCCUCGGAUUUCUUUAUGAAGAGCUCAUGCCUCCUUCAUGAUAGCGUUUAAGAGAGUGUAUUAUGAAUAUUUCAUUUUUAUGAAACUAAGAAUAUGAUAAAUCUCUCUACCAAAGUCAUAAUAAUUGAGUGAUAUUAUUAUUAUUUGAUUCCAAUACAAAGAGAGGUGAAGCUAAUUGUUUUUACCUUUUUUAAAAGAAAAUCUCCCAAGUCAAAUUUUUAGGAAUUGAAUACUAAUGAUUUUGCUAUCUCUUUUUCCACAAUAACUUAAGUACUAUAAAUUUCACAGCCAUGACUCUAGAAAAGUGUUAUACAAUUUAUUUUUGAGUCAUGCAUUAAAUGGUGUUUAUUAUUUCUUAUAAAUAUGUAAUAUAAAGAUAUUCGAUUCAGAUGAUAAUUCAUAGAUAAAAUAUAUGCAAUUAUAAUUUAAAUAACUCAAACCUGACCGUGACCGAAGCGACAGCGCAGAUGAGUGAACAGGGCGCCGGCCAGCCCCACCUCUAGGUAGUGUGGGCCCCGCUUUGCUAUGUGCGAUCUUGGUUCGAUUGUAUUCCGAAUUACACUACUUUUCCCACUGAGUUUCGUGAUUGAGAUGUGCCUCCCCCACACUUAUUUUUCUUUAUGCUUUCCUGCGCAGUAUGUGGAGACAAACACAUACAAAAGAAAUAGAGAAUAGAGUAGAUAAAAUACAAGACACUUUAUUUAUUCAUGAUGGUGAUAAUUUAACAGUCGCUUUAACGACUGAGCUAACGACUGCCCUAGCUCGAUGGGCUUUGUCCUAAGAAAACCUUUAUGACUCGACUGGCCUAACUAACUAGCCAAACCUAGCGGAAUUGUGCCUUAUUAAUAGGCAACUAGACAGCUAUGGCUGCCCUUUCUUGUUGAGGCCAUAAAUUUCCUCGUGAAGGGCUGCAACCUCUGCUUCGAGCUUGUAUUUAUCAUCCUUGAGGCUGCAGAUCAAUUUGAAACUCAUCCCUAACUGCUUGUCCAUGCCUUCUAUAAGCUUGUCCCUUCGAUAUUGGACUUUUCUACCCCCCUAACAAUGUCAGAGAAGCCAUCAAGCUUCUCGUUGAGGGUGUGCAAGGUAGGAGUUGUCUGCUUGGGAGCUUUCUCCAGUGCUAGUGCUGAUGUUGCUCUCUUCCUUUUGGGCUUAGGCGUUGGUGCGAGAUGCUCAACGUAGCACACCUCAUUAGGGUUAGGCCGAACGCCUUGGAUAACUAGACAAGCAGUGGUAUACUUGGCACAGAUCAACUUCCCGUUCUUGUCGGUUUGGACGGACACGAGCCACUCAUUCUCCCUGGGUUGAAGAAGCGGAGUACUGUUGAGGAUAGCGACCUACUCCCCAUUAGCAAUCCCUUGUAGCAAUCGCCUUGUUUGAGAAGGAUCAGAUGGUUCUUGCACAUAGUAGGCUUGCUCAUAGCGCUAGGGUACUCUAGCGACGUGCUUCGGUGGCACAAUGGUGAGAGGCUUUGGUGGCAUAAUGGCGAGAGGCUUCGGUGGCACAACAGCAAGAGGGUUCGGCUGGGCGAGGACGAGGGCCUUCGAGUCAUCGCAGGGGAUGUUGCUGAAGUCCGUGCCCUGGGAGACGACUGCCUUGUGUGCCAUUGCUAAUAGACUAGAGAGCUUCUCUCGGGAAAGAGGUGGCUGGAUAUGGGAUUUGAGCAGGGUCUAGAUACGUAUUUAUAUGGGUUUUCAGGAGACGGGAUGAGGACAGAUUCUAGGCUCUACAGGAUCCGUACGAAAGAAUAUCCGGUUACGAUUGGAUUAUGUGCGCAUAUCCAUAGGAAGAGUGUAGAAGAACAGGGAACAAGAGUCGGGACGAGGGGCGAUAGGGGGGCGCCGACCGGCACCACCUAGGCGCCGGCCGGCCCCACCUAGGGCCCGCUUCGGGUGCCCUUCUGUGUGGUUCCUUAAGACUCUUGCUAUUUUCUAUUAAACAUGUUUCCAGAUAAAUAUUCGUACUAGAAAAAAUAGAACUUAAUAUGGUGGCAUUUGGAUAAAUUCUAUCUCAUCAAUUACUCCUGAAUCAUAUGUUUCUAAAUAAAGUUUGAAGUCAGUGUCCAUUUACCUUGAAUAAUGUACCUUUGCUUGGUUUUAGAGUUACUGAUUCGUGUGGUGAUGAAUUCACAACGGUGAAGGGUCCAUCCCAUUUGCUCCUCAAUUUUUCAAGCCCGAAUAAUUUGAACCUAGAAUUAAAAAGUAAUACCCUAUCUCCUGGUGCAAAUUCCUUCUUCUUGAUCCUCUUGUCAUGCCAUCUCUUUGUUCGCUCUUUGUAGAUCUUCAAAUUGUGGUAUGCCUUUUCUCCAUUUUUCUAGUUCUGAUAAUUGCAUUUUUCUUUUCCCUCCAGCGGCUUCAAAGUCCAUAUUCCAUCUUUUGAUAGCCCAAUGAGCUUUAUGUUCUAACUCGACUGGCAAGUGAAAAGUCUUACCAUAUACCAAUUGAUAUAGGGACACAUGUUGGGCAUUUUAAACACAAACAGAAAAAUCCGCAAGCGCACGGAUACCGAUGUAGCUUUCACCCGGGAGUAUUCCAGAGUAUCGAUUUUCCACAGGGGAUGUGAGUGUACUAAUUAAGAUUCAAGAUCACCCAAGGAUAACUAUAUAAUUAUUUUUGGUGGGAAAAGAGGAAGUUUCCUGAGAGUUCUCUAGCUGAUCUAAUAAUCAAGAAUUACUUCAAAGAUUAUUUAUUUCGGGACAUCAGAACACUAACCACAGAAAGAGAUGAGAAGGGGGCUAGGAAGCUCUGACUACGGUCCUACAAACACCGAUCCGAACGAGGUGGAAUACGUUGACCGUUAGGGCUGUCACUACUCUAGGGUUACCACAACAAUCCGCAGGAUUCGGUGCAAUUCCAGGUAAUUGCAAGACUAAACACCACGUCUAAUCUAUUAAUUACUACUCUAGCGUUGCAAAGACUAGAGCACUUGAUGCUAGAGGGAAUCCAAUAAAUAACUUGAAUGUAAGUAAAAGUAAUUAAACAACUCAGGAAUUAUGAAUUGAAGAACUUGGAGAAUGAUGAGGAACGAACCAGUUGCUGCAAAAGUACAAUGUUGAGGAAGAUCCGACACAUCCGGCUCCUCCUCCGCUCUCCUCUUCUCUCUCCCUAUUUUAUAGAUUACAACUAGUACUAACUAGAACUAGAGAACUAGAACUAGAACUAGAUGAACUAGAGGGAUCCUCUCUACUUGGAUGAAUAACUGAAACCUUAGCUUUGAUUCUGUAGAAGAGAUAUGUCCUCCAUGGGCCAGGGGGCCUGCUUAUAUAGCCCCUCCAAAUGAACGUGGACCGUCGGAUCAAACCGACCUUAAUUGCACGGUUUUCCUUGAUCCUCAAAGGCGGUGGAGCACGAUCUGUGAGACCUGCCCUGAUUGGUCACCAGGGCAGGGUGGGCGCCCAAGGGGGAGGGCGGGCGGCCUACCCCCGGGCACGCUCGGCCUCCCAUUCGUUCACGUGGCUUCUGGAGUCUUCUAGAUGAUAGAAAAUUAGCGCACAUGUUAGUAUCUCUAUGUAAACCCGACGUGUGGGCCUUUCCUCCAUAUUUCCUGAUAACCCCCCUGCAGAAAUAGACAAACACCAAAACUUGUGGAAUUCGGUCAAAUGAAACCCUAAUUUUGGAUGUUGGUUGCAUAUAGGUCCUUUUCCAUGAUUAGUUGACAGUUAAAUGUGAGCAUUAAGGACCGUCAACAAGCUCCCCCAAGCUUAACCUUUGCUCGUCCCUGAGGAAAGCUAAAAUCAGCAAGGAAACAGGGGUUACCUUUAUGCCUCUUACUACAGAGUUUUAAAGUUAUCACUAAGGUCUUAAGUGAUUGAAAAACAGAGCGAUCAAGUCAAGCACUAUGUCUCAAGUUCUUCUGUCUUACCUUUGUUCUAGAAUUUUUUAUAAGUUUGCAAAAUAAAACUGAGGCAUUUGCCUUCUUCUCGAAAGAUAUAUAAGUAGAGCUUUAAAAGUUUUAGCAUACUUACUUUGCAUUUUGCUAAAUCAAUGCUCGGAGCAAGGGAGAGGAAUGUCAUACUCCUAUAUCAAGACCUUUCACCUUUUUGAAAAGUUUGUCAUCUCUUACUGGCAUAUUGCUUAUUAGAGGGACCAUGGUCUAUCAUUUUUUUCUUUCUUUUUUCAGUCUCUCUCUCUUUUUUUUUCUUUUUUUUCAAGUGGGCAGCAAGUACCCCUAACUCUACUAUCGGACACGUGUCCAUUUUUUCCACUCAGGUGGGUAUCUUUGUACCCCUAAUUCUACUUCGGACACUUGUCCAUUUUUACCUCUCGUCUCACUCUUUUUUUUUCGAAUCAAAUUUUUGCAUAGUCCCAUGCCUCUAACGCAAUAAUACUUCGGAAGAGUGAAUCUUUUAUAUACUUAAAACAAAAAGAUCUUGAUCUUUGGAGCAUGAUAAUUCUCUCAACCAAAACUACAAGAAUUAACAAUGGCUUGAACAAAGCAAGUGCCCACAGUUUUAAUAUUUAUAUCUUAUAAGACUCUAGUUAUUAUGUCAAACGGGAUCUCUUUUUUUUUGAAUUUUUAGAUUUUCAAAAGAUAAAAUCUCUAGAACUCUAGCGAAAUUUGGAACAAGUUAAAUAGUAGCUCAGACCUUCUCAUAUCAUGUUUGUCAAUUACCUAGACUUGGAUCAAACUUUCUUUUUAUUUUAUUUAAAACUUAGGAUUACACAAAACUAUUGUAUAUUACUCAAAGGAAAAACUUUGUUUGGUUUCAUGGCUAUGCAUUUUUUUAUUUAUUUCCAAAUACUAGUAAAUAAAACCAAGAAAGAAAAGUAAUACUUAUCUAGAUACAUGUGGGGGUGCCUCCCCCAAGCUGGAUGUUGACAUAGUCGUUCACUCUUGUGGCCUACAUGUUUGGUUUACUCUUCUUAUGCCUCAAAAUCCUGCACAACCCAAAUAGACAACAAAACUCGUGGAGCAUGUUAAGGGUUAGGUAAUUGUCUAGAGCUUAUGAGAGCUUAAUGUGAGAAUUCUAUGAACUCAAUCACAUCAAGGUCCUCUACUAGGUCGUUUUGUGGCUCGAGAUAGAUUUUCAAGUGUUGACCAUUUACCUUAAAAGUGUUACCUAUGCCAUCUUGGAUGGUAAUGGCUCCAUGAGUGGAAGUGUCAAUAACCUUGUAUGGUCCAUCCCACUUACUUCGUAGCUUACCAUGCCCAAAGAGCUUAACUCUUGAAUUGAAUAGUAGAACCUUAUCUCCAGGCUUAAACUCCUUGUGCUUGAUUCUCUUAUCAUGCCAUCGUUUUGUUCUCUCUUUAUAGAUCCUUGAUUUGUGGUAGGCUUUCUCUCUCCAUGCUUCUAGCUCAGAUGGUUGUAUCAGACGAUUCUCGCUAGCGAGGUGGAGAUCUAUGUUCCAUUUCUUGAGUGCCCAAUGAGACUUAAACUCUACUUCCACAGGCAUAUGACAAGUUUUUGCAUAUACAUGUUGAUAAGGUGACAUGCCUAUGGGUGUUUUGAAUGCAGUUCUAUAGGCCCAAAGUGCAUCAGGAAGUUUGUCCUUCCACCCCUUACCAUCUCAUCUACGGUCUUUUGUAAAAUAUUUUUGAUUUGUUUGUUAGAUGUUUCGGCUUGACCGCUAGUCUGAGGAUGGUAUGGUGUUGCGACGUUGUGUCGAACUCCAUGAUCGGCUAGGUAGUUCCGUAAGAUUUUGUCGAUGAAGUGGGAACCUCCAUCGCUUAUAACUAUCCGGGAUAUACCAAAGCGAGGAAAGAUUACUUCAUGGAACAUUCUCUUGGCAUGUUUUGAAUCAGCUGAUCGACAAGGUAGGGCUUCUACCCAUUUGGACACAUAGUCCACAACUACUAAGAUAUACUCACAAUUCCCGGACAUUGGGAAUGGCCCCAUGAAAUCAAUGCCCCAUACAUCGAAAAGUUCUACUUGAAGAUUAUUUGUGAGAGGCAUUUCAUUCGUGAGUUAAUAUUCCCAUGUUUUUGACAUCGGUGGCAUCUCUUGACAAAGUCUUUUGUAUCUUAAUACAUUGUUAGCUAGAAAUAGCCACUUUGCCAAAUUUUAGCAUGUGUCCGAGAAUGCUCCAUAGUGUCCUCCAUAUGGUGAGGCAUGGCAUCUUUCGAUAAUUUGAGUAGCCUCAGCCAUAGGAACACACAUUCUCAAGAGUCCAUCAGUGCAGACUCGGAAAAGAUAUGGCUCAUCCCAAAGGUGGAAACGACUAUCGUGAAGCAACUUCCUUUUGUUUGUACCAGGUGGGACAUAGCCUUUUACUAUAAAGUUUACGAUGUCUGCGUACCAUGGAUCUGCAUGUGUUAUCUUAAGCAGGGUGUCAUCCCUUAGGUAGUCAUUUAUGGGAAGCUCAUCAUGGGUUUCCUUAUAUUGGAGCCUAGACAAGUGGUCGGCUAUGGAAUUCUCUACUCCCUUCCUAUCUCGGAUUUCUAUGUCAAAGUCUUGGAGUAGAAGAGUCCAUCGAAUUAGAUGAGGCUUAGCAUCUUUCUUAGUGAGGAGGUACUAUAGAGCAGCAUGGUCUGAAUAGAUGAUUAUCUUUGCCCCCACUAAUUAUGAUCUAAACUUGUCUAUAGCAAAGACAACAGCCAAAAGCUCUUUUUCAGUUGUAGUGUAAUUGAGCUGUGGUCUAGACAAGGUUUUGCUAGUGUAGGAUAUGGCAUAAUGCUUUUUAUCCUUGGUUUGUCCUAAAACGGCACCAACUGCAAAAUUGCUAGGUUCACAAAUGAUCUCAAAAGGAAGAUUCCAAUCAGGUGGUUGGAUAAUCUGGGCUGACAUGAGUGCUUUCUUAAGAGUUUGAAAAGAUUCAUGACACUCAUCACUAAAUAUGAAAGGUGCAUCCUUAGCUAGGAGACUAGUUAGGGGUCUAGCAAUUUGAGAGAAGUUCUUGAUAAAGCGUCUAUAGAACCCUACAUGUCCCAAAAAGCUACGGAUUCCUUUCACAUUCAUGGGAGGUGGAAGUUUUUCAAUAAAUUCAAUCUUUGCUUUGUCACCCUCUAUACCACGUUCGGACACUUUAUGUCCUAGCACUAUUCCUUCCUGAACCAUAAAAUGGCAUUUCUCCAGUUCAGGAUUAAGUGCUUUUCUUCAGAUCGCUGCAAGACUCUAUCUUAAUUCUCCAAACAAUGAUCGAAGUUUUUGCCAUAGAUGGUAAAAUCAUCCAUGAAAACCUCCAUGAUCUUCUCAAUCAUGUUCGAGAAAAUAGACAUCAUGCACCAUUGGAAAGAAGCUGGAGCAUUGCACAAUCCGAACGACAUUCAUCGGUAUGCAUAAGUUCCAUACGGGCAUAUAAAGGUAGUCUUUUCUUGGUCAUCUGGGUGGAUUGGGAUUUGGUGAUAUCCAGAAUAACCAUCAAGGAAACAGAAGAAAGAGUGGUUUGCAAGCUGUUCCAACAUUUCAUCAAUGAAGGGUAACAGAAAAUGAUCUUUCUUUGUAGCCUUGUUGAGUUUUCGAUAGUCAAUACACAUACGCCACCCAGUGACAAUUCGUUGAGGGAUGAGUUCAUUCUUCUCAUUCCUAACGACCAUCAUUCCUCCUUUCUUUGGCACUACUUGGACAGGGCUAACCCACUCACUAUGUGGCACAGGAUAAAUAAUCCCAGCAUGAUAGAGUUUGAGGACCUCUUUCUUAACAACCUCUCGCAUAGCAUUGUUAAGUCUCCGUUGUGGUUCCCUUGAAGGUGUAAAAUUGGGAUCAAUAGGGAUACGAUGAGUGCAGAGAAUGGGACUAAUGCCCGUGAGAUCUUCAAGAGAGUAGCCAAGUGCUGAUCUAUGACUUUCAAGAACAGUGACAAGUUGUUGUGUUUCAUAAUCGGAAAGCUUGUCACUGAUAAUUACUGGAGUUUUUGGGCUGUUGUAAAAAAGACAUAUCCAAGGCCAGAAGGAAGUGGUUUUAACUCUAUCGAAGGAGGUGAAGGUUGUUAAUUUUUGUCUAGCUCAACGGGUUCUACCAACUCUUCUUCUUCUUGAACAAAGUGUUCAUGAUUAAAGAAUGGUUGGGCCAUCUCCUCUUGAGUCAGCAUUAAGAUCUCCUCAAUAGGAUCUGAUUCAAGUUUGGGUUCCACUAUCGUGUUAAUUGAUCUAACAAGAGGAACAACAAUAGUGGAAUUCCCAACCUUUAAGUCUAGAUGACCUCGUUGUGGUUGUUCUUGUAGAAGUUUCAAGAUUGGUCUACCAAUCAAGAGAGGAAUCUCCAGUAUGUCAAAAAUUUGAAAAUCUAGAAAUAUUCCAGAGUCCUUGAUUCUAACAGGAACUGCCCUUAAUACCCCAUGGCUUUCUAGAAUUAAUCCAGAUGGACUUUGUAAAUGUUUUUGGGAUGGGGUUAUGGACUCGUUGGGAUAAAGAGUGUCAGCUAACUCCUUGGAAAUAACAUUUAUCCCAACAUAUGUAUUGUAGUGGACCUUCCUAGCGGACCCUCUAAUUUAGCACAUAAGAAUGGUUGAAGGAGUGAUGAUCCGACCUACCUCAGGAGACAGCUCUGCUUCUGUUAGCCAUUCAUAACUCAGAAUAGCCGAAAGGCUUUUGAUGUGUUCUAUGUCAAUAGAUUCUACUCUUAGAACGGAUUGAGUGGUCCCUACUAGAGGUCGUGUUUGUAUAGGAAAAUUCAAGGUGUUUCCAUAAUCUUCAAAAAGAUCUUCCUCGAAUUCAAAGGGAUGCUCUAAAGGUAGUGGUUCAUCAUCCCUUAGUUGGUUUUGCAUUCCCUUAUUAGGAGGUUUUUCUACAACCAAAUUAAUAGAUGGGUCAGGUGGAAUUUCUAACUCGGUUGCAAGUUCCUCAUCUUUUGGUUUAGGAUCAGGCUCGACUUCUUUUUAUUCUUCAAGAAACUCAUCAUAAAUGCCUGCGUAAGGGGUAUUUUCAAGUAUUCUCUCUAGGAUAGCUCUCCCCUCAUCUAUGAGUUUGUGUGCGAAUGAGCCUCGUGAAGCAAUGUCGAGGUGAAGAGUAGCUUCCUUCUUUAGACCACGAUAAAAGUGGUAGCACAGUACAUGGUCUGGUAGGGAAAGGUUUGGACCAGAAUUGGUAAGGCUUGUGAACCUAGCCCAAGCUGCUCCUAAAUUUUCCUUCUCUCUUUGUUUGAAUGUAAGAAUUUCAAUUCUAAGGUCAGCGAUUCGAAAAAGUGGGAAGAAAGUGAGACAAAAGUUGUCCCGAAGUUCAUCCCAAUUUCCAUUAACGCCUCCUACAGAAUGAGCAUACCACUUUUUUGCUCUUCCCAAAAGGGAGAACGAAAAUAAUUUCCAUUUAAGGGUUUCUUGUGUCAUGCCGGAAAUAGAUCGGCAAGAGCACAACUGCUCAAAUUCUCUAAGGUGGGUGUGUGGAUCUUCAUCUACUUGCCCAGAGAAGGGUUGCUCCUGAAUCAUGGCUAUUAGAUCAGGGCCGAGGUCGUAGCCAUUUGUAAGAAUUGGAUGUGAUGAUGGUGGUGGCUCUAAUAACUCGCCCUUUGGAGCAAAGAAUUUAUAGAUAGGAGUGAAAUCCAUGUGGUAUGGUGAAAAUGGUAAGGUGAGUGUGGUAAAAAAAGAAAAGAAUAGAAUAGACGGAUGACUUGGUUCGAAACUAGCACAGCUACCGUUCCCCGGCAACGGCGCCAGAAAGCUUGUUGGGUAUUUUAAACGCAAACAGAAAAAUCCGCAAGUGCACGGAUACCGAUGUAGCUUUCACCCGGGAGUAUUCCAGAGUAUACUUUUCCACAGGAAACGUGAGUGUACUAAUUAAGAUUCAAGAUCGCCCAAGGAUAACUAUAUAAUUAUUUUUGGUGGGAAGAGAGGAAGUUUCCUGAGUGUUCUCUAGCUGACUAAGAAUCAAGAGUUACUUCAAAGAUUAUUUAUUUCGGGACAUUAGAACACUAACCACAAAAAGAGAUGAGAAGGGGGCUAGGAAGCUCUGACUACGUUCCUACAAACACCGAUCCGAACGAGGUGGAAUACGUCGACCGUUAGGGCUGUCACUACUUUAGGGUUACCACAACAAUCCACUAGAUUGGGUGCAAUUCUAGGUAAUUGCAAGACUAAACACCACGUCUAAUCUAUUUAUUACUACUCUAGCGUUGCAAAGACUAGAGCACUUGAUGCAAGCGGGAAUCCAAUAAAUAACUUGAAUUUAAAUAAAAGUAAGUAACGAACUCAGGAAUUAUGAAUUGAAGAACUAGGAGAACGAUGAAGAAUGAACCAGUUGCUGCGAAAGUACAAUGUUGAGGAAGAUCCGACAAAUCCAGCUUCUUCUCCGCUCUCCUCUUCUCUCUCCCUAUUUUCUAGAUUACAACUAGAACUAACUAGAACUAGAACUAGGUGAACUAGAACUAGAACUAGAACUAGAUGAACUAGAGACAUCCUCUCUACUUGGAUGAAUAAUUGAAACCCUAACUUUGAUUCUAUAAAAGAGAUAUGUCCUCCAGGGGCUAGGGGGCCUGCUUAUAUAGCCCCUCCAAAUGAACGUGGGCCAUCGGAUCAAACCGACCUUAAUCGCAUGGUUUUCCUUGAUCCUCAAAGGCGGUGGAGCAUGAUCCGUGAGACCUGCCCUGAUUGGUCACUAGGGCAGGGCGGGCGCCCAAGGGGGGAGGGCGGGCGCCCUGCCCCCAGGCCCGCUCGGCCUCCCUUUCGUUCUCGUGCUGAUGGAGUCUUCUAGAUGAUAGAAAAUUAGCGCACACGUUAAUAUCUCUAUGUAAACCCGACAUGUUGGCCUUUCCUCCAUAUUUCCUGAUAACCCCAUGCAGAAAUAGACAAACACCAAAACUCGUGGAAUCCUGUCAGAUGAAACCCUAAUUUUGGAUGUUGGUUGCAUAUAGGUCCUUUUCCUUGAUUAUUUGACGGUCAAAUGUGAGCAUUAAGGACCAUCAACAACAUACCCAAAGGUGUUUUAUAAGCUGUCAGCUAUGCCCAUAACGCAUUUGGUAACUGAUCCCUCCAUAGAGUUCCCAUCUCAUUUACUGUUUUUGGAGAAUAUUUUUGAUUUGUUUAUUUGGUGUUUCUGCCUGGCCACUUGUCUGAGGAUGAUAUGGAGUAGCGACAUUAUGUCGUGUUCCAUGAGUUUGUAGGUAUAAGUUAAACUUUUUAUCAAUGAAGUGUGUUCCUCCAUCACUUAUAACUAUCCUAGGUGUUCUAACCCUUGGAAAUAUAAUCUCUUCAAACAUCCUCUUUGAAUGUCUUGAGUAAGCCUUCUUGCAUGGUAUGGCUUCUACCCACUUGGAUACAUAGUCAAGUGCCACAAAAUGGUCCCAUGUAAUCAAUUCCCCAAACAUCAAAGAGCUCUAUCUGAAGAUUGUUGGUGAGUGACAUAGCAUCUCUAGUAGUGCUAUUUUCGUGCCUCUGACAUGGCCCAUAUCUUCGGAUAAAAUCUUUGGAGUCUUCAUACAUGGUCGGCCAGAAGAAACCACUCUAUCAAAAAUUUGAAUGAGUACGGCAUACCACAUAAUGACCUCCAUAUGGUGAUGAAUGACAUUUCUGAAUGAUCUUCAUGCCCUCCUCCACAGGUACACAUCUUCUAAGCAACCCAUCUGAGCAUACCCGAAAGAGAUUGGGUGGAUCCUAUAUGUGGAGACGACUUUCAUAAAUGAGCUUCCUCUUGUUUUCUCCUGGUGGAACAUCUCCUGCAACCAUAAAGUUGACAAUAUUCGCGUACCAAGGAUCUAUCUUGGUCACUUUAAAUAGCAUGUCAUCUCUUAAUGAGUCAUUAAUAGGUAACUUGUGAGGUUCUUUAAAAUACAUCCUAGACAAAUGAUUAGCAAUAGGAUUUUCCACACCUUUUUUAUCUUUAAUUUCCAUAUCAAAUUCUUGAAGUAAUAAGAUCCAUCUUAUUAAUCAUGGUUUAGCAUCUUUCUUAAUGAGCAAAUAUUUAAGAGCAACAUGGUCAGAAUAAACAAUUAUUUUUCAGUGGUUGCAUAAUUUAAUUGCGCUUCUGUCAUUGUUUUUGCUAACAUAAGAAAUUGCAUGAUGCAUUUUAUCUUUUGUUUGCCCUAAGAUUGUGCCUACACCAUAAUCACUAGCAUCACCACUAAUUUUAAAACGUAAAGACCAAUCAGGGGGUGAAUGAUUGGUGCUGAUGUGAGUGCUCCCUUAAGAAUAUUAAAAUAUUCUAAGCAUUCAUCAUCAAAUUCAAAGGGUACAUCCUUAGCUAAUAAUCUAGUCAUUGGCCUAGCAAUUUGUGAGAAAUUUCUUAUAAAUCUAUGAAAAAAACACAAUGACCAAGAAAGCUUCAGAUUCCUUUUAUAUUAACAGGUGGAGCUAGUUGCUUGAUUACUUCAAUUUUAGCUUUAUUUACCUCUAUACCUCUUUCUGACACUAGGUAUCCUAACACUAUUCCCUCUCUAACCAUAAAAUGACAUUUCUCCCAAUUGAGGACUAAGUGUUUUUUUACAUCUUUGCAAAACCUUAUCUAAAUUUUGUAAACAAUCAUCAAAUGUUUUUCCAUAAAUUGAAAACUCAUCCAUAAAAACUUCCAUGAUCUUUUCUAUCAUAUCAGAAAAUAUAGACACCAUGCAUCUUUGAAAAGAAGCGGGUGCAUUACAUAAUCCAAAAGGCAUUCUACGAUAAGCAUAAGUUCCAUACGGACAUGUAAAUGUGGUUUUGCUUUGAUCAUCAGGGUGGAUAGGGAUCUGCUGAUAUCCUGAAUAACCAUCAAGAAAACAAAAGAAAGAAUGAUUAGCUAAACGCUCUAGCAACUCAUCAAUGAAAGGUAGAGGAAAAUUAUCUUUCUUUGUUGCUUUGUUGAGUUUUCUAUAAUUUAUGCACAUUCGCCAUCCAGUGACAAUUAUUUGAGGUAUUAAUUUAUUUUUAUCAUUUUGGACAACUGUCAUUCCUUCCUUUUAGGCACAACUUGCACAGGACUUACCCACUCACUAUGCAGUAUAGGAUAUAUAAUCCCUCCAUGCAAAAGCUUUAAGACCUCUUUCUUUACUAUGUCCCUCAUCGCAUUCUGGAGUCUACGCUGAGGCUCUCUUGAAGGUGUAAUUUCUGGGUUGGUUGGUAUGCGAUGAGUGCAGAGAACAGGGCUAAUCCCUUUUAGGUCUUGGAGUGAAUAACCAAAAGCAGCACGGUAUGAACAGUUAUUAGUUUAUAAGUCUCCUCAUCUCAGAGAUUAUCACUUAUAAUUAUAGGAUAUUUUUUAUCAUUAUUUAGAAAAAAUUAUUUAAGUCUAGAAGGUAGUGGUUUAAGCUCAAUAGGAAGGUUAAGUGGCUCUAGUAAUUCAUCAAGAGGUUCAGGAUUAGUAAGAUCCGCUUCCUCUUCUUUGAUGAAGAACUGGGUAUCACCUUCUAAAUCAGGUUGACUAAAAUUAUCAAAUUUAGAUGACUUAACCUCUUCUAUUGGAUCUAAUUCAGAAAGGGGUUCUGCUUUAACCUUUACUGUAUUAGUUAUAGGCAUUGAAAAACUAAAUCUUUUCCCAAAUUUAACGUUUAAUUUACCAUUACGACCUUCUUGAAGAAGUUUUAUUAUAGGUACUCCAAUCAUUACAUUAAAAUCCCACACAUUAAAUAUAUAAAAAAUUAACAAAAUGUGGAAAUCAUUAAUAACAAUAGCAUGUGCACUCAAAACUCCUAAGCUAGGAAUAAUAUGUCCUGAACAACUUUUUAAUAAUUUAUUUGUAGGAAUUAAUUGUAUGUCUUUCAAGAAUUCUUUAGCAAAAGUAUAUGACAUAAUAUUGACUCCUACAACCGGAUUAUAUAAACCUUCAAAAGGAUGUGAAUCUACAUGCAACUUUAUAGCAACUCAGGGUGAAUUAAAGUGAAUUACUUGAGGGGAUUUCUUAGAUUCUAUUAACCAAUCAUCACCUAAAAUGAAGAUUAAUUCCCUUAUAACUUCUUUAAGAAAUUUUAAAUCGUCGGGAUGUGAGAAAAUAGGAUUAAAAUCCAUAGAUUGUUGGGGUUGAAUAAUCUUAUAAUAAAAUGUAGUAUUACCAAAAUCAUCAAAGAAAUCAUCCUCAAUUUCAAACAUCCAUUCAGAAUCUGGAGUUAUCUCUGUCUCUUUAGCUAAUUCAACUAUAGAUUGAGAUGAAUCAAGUAAAAGUUUAUUUUCAGCUAACCGAAAUUUUUCUUCUAAUAACUCUUCUUUUUCUUCGUGGAGACCAUUUAAAAUAUUAGUAAGAAUAGUUAUAGCAUUAUCAACAUUAAUAUGCAUAAAUGCUCCUCCCGAGGCUAAAUUAAGGUAUUUUUGAUUUUUAUUAUUAAGGCCUAAAAAGAAAUGUUGUAAAAGCAUGGCUUCCGGUAAAGCAAGAUUAGGUCCAGAAUUUACAAAACUAUCAAAACGAUCUCAAGCCUUGCCUAGUGAUUUCUUGUCCAAUUGUUUGAAUCCUAUAAUUUCAAACCGAAUUUUAACGACCUUUUCUGCUAGGAAGAAUUUAAGGCAAAAAUAUUUUCGUAAUAUAUCCUAGUCUCCUUGACUAUUCCCAACAUGGCGAUUAUACCAUUUCUUAGCUCGACCCAUUAAUGAAAAUGGAAAGAGAUUCCAUCUUAGAGUUUCAUCAACCAUGCCCUUAAUUUUUAGACAUAAACAUGUCUGCUCAAAAUCAGCUAAAUGGGAAUAGGGGUUUUCAAUAGAAUUACCAGAAAAAUAUGUUCUUGAACUAUUUUGAUUAGUCCCGGGCAUAGCUCAUAGCUAGAUGAUGUGAUAGGUUUAGAAGAUUUUUUGGCUGGAGGUACGAUCUCGACGGUGCUCCAUAUUGAUAUAAAAGUUGAGAUUCAAUUUCCAUAUCUAUAUUAUAUAUUAUCUAUAUAUAUAUAUAAGGAUAACUAUAGAUUAAGAUAGACUAAUGUCAAAAAUCAGCAAACCAUUCCCCGACAACGGCGCCAGAAAUGCUUGUUGAUAUAAAUUAGCUGUACCCUAAUAAUAAUUAUAAUCAGAUUGUCCGCAAGCGCAAAGAUAUAUACUAAUCAGCACUUCACCAAGGUCAACCCGGUUUUAAUAUCGAACCCAAAGGAACAGUAAGUGAUUUAUCACUUAGCCCAUAAUUUCUUAAUAUAAUGGGGCACAAACAGUCUAGAAACUAUUGGUGAUGAGGAAAUACUAAUGUAUUCUGGUUCCAAUAACCGGUAAACUUUGUAUAGUAUCAUUUUAUCGGGCAAGUCAUCUGAAUAGGGGAAGAAUCAGAGUAAUCCUCUAUCAGGCACCUAUAAUCCUAUCAAUCCUAUCAACGGGAACUGGACUACAGAGGAAUCAACGCAGCUAUAAAGUCACGUACGCGAACUACCACUGUCCGGCUGAUUAGGGGACAUUCAUAAGCAACCAUAGCCAAGACACCACGUCUACGCUACGAAUCACUACUGCGACCUAGGAGCUUACCAAAUCGUAGUACUCAAUAUAAUAUGAGUUGCAAACCAAAGAACGAAUACAAACAAGUUGCUUACUUGAAUUAGAUGGGUAAAUACAAAAGUACCUCAGAACGCGGUUCCGGGCGAGGGUGCCGAAUCCAAAUGAAUACAGCUCCUAAGGAAGCUCCGACAGACCGGGACUCCUCUGAAUCUCUACUCCUCUACUCUAUCUCUCUAAUCUCUAUCUUGAUUGCUAGCAUAGAUCUAGUGGAUCUCUAUCUAAUGCUUUGGCUCUUCAUCUCUUGAUCUAGCCUCCUCUAGUGGGUCUUGCCUUCUAUUUAUAGCCUGGUGGGGAGAACGCGCACCGUUGGAUCAAACUGAAUUAACAAGCGGUCGAGAUGGCUCCUCAGAGGCGGUGGAGGAAGCUUCCAGAAGAGGGGAGCAAACCUUAGCAGCAGGGGGCCAGCCGGCGCUAGGGUGGGGCAGAUUGGCCCCACCUGGUGGCUACUGGCUCCCCCUCAUGUCGAGUGUCUUCUAGAGUGUUCCUGAAUCCUUCGGUGUCAUCCUUUCAUCGCGGCUAAGUGUCAUGGCCGAUUAGCACUUAAAUCCCUCUUUUCAGCACUUUCUAAAAUAAUCCCAAGAAAACACAGAUUAUACAAAACUCAUGGAAAUUGGUAGUGGUAACCCUAUUCUAGUAGAUAUUCAUUUCUGGUGGAGAAAUAAAUGCUAACAAAUUUUGUAAGUUAACAAGUGUCAACAGCUCACGAUAGAGAAGACGCUUCAGGGAUAAUGAUGUAGCACUUGUGCCAUAGUAUGUAUGCCUUCUCUACUUCUCCUAGAGUUUACUAUCCAUCACCUCCACGAAUGUGAAGAGCUACAUUGUCAUAAUCGAUGCUCGCUUCAUCGACUGUGACGAUAGCAUAUCCAGGUGGUAUUAGUGCCCCAUAGAUUCUUGGUUCUUGGUAGGGUCCGGAGGAUUAUAAGCAGUGACAACAACCUUGAUUCUGUCAUUCCCCCUUGGCAUAUGUAGCUCAAUUUAUGUCAUUGGAGUAGUGACAUCAUUCAUGAGGAAGCACAGCGCUGCGUUAUCUUGAUUUGGUAGCUUAGUGGAAACACAACUGCUUUUCAACUAACCAGGGGCUAAUAUUAACAUUCAUUCUUGGACCCAGUGCCAACUCUAGGCACUGAUUGCUAUCUUCACCUGCUUUUUGAUUUCUUCAUGCAUUCUUCCUUCCAUUGCUUUGGCUCGCUCUUCUGCCUGAAGCAUCGUUGCUCCAACGUUAUGGUUUGCGCUACUUCCUCCACCUUCCUUCUUUGGUGGCUCCAGUAGGUUUCCUUGUCAUUAGUCUUGCAAGAUCCAUAACUCAAAGAUGGGGAAGAUGACAUCUCUGAUAGGGGGUUGACGCUCACGAAUGCUCAUUUUUAUCCAUCAACUAUUGUUUGCUAUGAUAUGACAUGAACCACUAAGCAUAGUUAUAGGGUUUAUAUCUAUUGAGUUCCAUGAUUUUUGGUGAAUAUUUGUUUCUGCAGGGGGAAUAUCAGAAAUUAGCCAAAAGAGGCCAACAUGACAGAUUUACAUUGAGAGAAGACCAUAUCGGUAAUCAAAGAACAAUCUAGAGGACUUAGGAAGGUAGCACCUCAAAGUUGAGGCCCACUUGGCAUUGAGCCUGUGCGGGCAACCAAGCCAUUGGGGCGGCCGCCCCUCUCCCUGGACCAAUCAGGGGGAGUCUUCUGGAUCCUACCUCCACCGACCUUGAGGAGUAAUCUUGACCACCUAUUUGAUCCGAGGGCUAUGAUGCUUCCCACUGGGCUAUAUAAGUAGAGGUAGACCCCCCUCAAAGGCAUAUCCUUCAUUAGCUACAUCUAGAGAAAAAAAUAGGAUUUCAUCAAGUAGAGAAAUAGAGGUCCCUCUAGAUUUCUAGUUCUAGGUCUUCUAGUUCAUCUUCUAGUUCUAGUUCUUGUUCAACUAGUUGAAGUUGUCUAGUUUAUCAUCUAGCUAAUCUAGAUGUAAACUAGAGAAGAGGGAGAGAGGAGAGGAGAAAGCUGAGAAGGAGUCAGACCUGUCUGAUCUUCCUUGGCAUUGUACUUUUGCAGCAUCUGGGUUGUCUUGAGCAAUCUCCAGUUUCUUCAUCAUUUAUUUCUAUGUAUUUGAUUUAUAUAUUUUAGCCUUAUUAUAUUUACUGGAUCUCUGCUCAUAUUGAGUGCACUAGUUAUCCUGGGCAAUUAGAGUAGUAAGUGUGUAGAUGUGGCGUCUAGAUUAGGGUUUACCUAAGUUUGCACCUAAUCCUCUAGAUAGGUGUGGUAGCCCCAGAGGUGACAACUCUAUUAGGGCUUUGUAAUCCACCACAUUAUGGUUGGUGUUCCAUAGAGCUUUUUGGUAGCCUCCCCCCCCGAUUACCUCCUUCCCAAUCUUUUCGAGAGUCGGAAAGGUACUAUUGCUCAAAAGUAAGUAAAAUAGAGUAAGCCUUUGAUUAAAUUGAACUCUUUAGAAAACCCUAAGAUCCCUCUCUACCCUAUAAUUACUCUUCCCUUGAACGUUCUUAAUUAUUCUAGUUUACUUCACAUUUCCUUUGGAAAUCUAUACUCUAGAAUACUGGUGGGUGAAGGCUACAUCGAUUUCCGUGCGCUUGCGAUUUUUUCUAUGUGCGUUUAAAAUGCUCAGCAAGCUUUCCGGCGCUAUUGUCGUGGAACUGUAGCUGUUGUAGACUCAAACCAUGUUUGUCCAAGUUUUAUUUUUCAUUUACCACCUUUUAUAUUAUCAUAGUAUCCAACAAAUUCCAUUCCUAUCUAUCAAUAUGAUCUACCCAAUUAGCACAAACUUAGAGGAACUAGAGUCCAUAAUUCUCAUAUCUAGCUAUGAGUUGCACCCACGUUUGGUUGUAAUAGGUCAAAACCAACCAUUUUCUAUAGUGGAGGUCCUAUCUUCUAAUCAAGAGGGUAACAAACCCAAGGUCCUAUCUUCUAAUCAAGUAGGUAAUGAACUUUUGACUACACUAAGGGAAUUUUUUAAUCUUUUUAUAAAUUUAGGUUUAGAUCUAGCCAUACAAGACCCUGUUCCUCUCCAAUAUUUUCAUAUGGGUCUUGAUAAUAUCAUUUUUGGAGGAGUUUUUAUUUCUUUACCCAUUAUUAAAGCAAGGUUUUCCCUUAUUAGUAGACACAAUCCUUGCAUGAGCCUUCAUGAUGAACUCCUAGAGGUAAAGAAGGAAUCAUCCCCCAAACAAGAAGAGGAAUUUUCCAUAACCAUAUUACAAACAUUUCACUUCUACGAUUCGGCUAUCCAACCCAAAUCAGUUGUACUCCAAAAUCCUCUAAGGGAAGAAGAAAUUCUGCCCUUAGAAUUUUUUUCAAUGAUUAUUUUGGGAGGAGUGUAAACUUCCGGCUUCAUAAGAGAUCUUUAAGUUAAUAUAGUUUGAAUCCUCUGAAGAAGGGAUCUCUUAAAAAGCGUUCCAAAUCCAAUCUCGUUGAAGUUUAUUUAGGAAAACUGAAGGAUAACAAGUAUAGUGAUGCCAUAGUAGGAGUGCAAAACCACCUAGAAGACAAUCCUAUCCUCUCAUGUUCUAUACUCAUACUAGAUGACUUCUAUGAACCCACCAUUGAACCCAUCCGUGAGCCUAAUGAAUCCUCUAAUGCUCUUUCUCCUAAACCUCAUGACAAUCUUAAAAAUCCAUCUACACAUCAAACACAUAGGAAUCAUCUAGACCAUAAGGAGGAUCGAGAAGAGCAAUAUCAGUGGCCAAAGAGCAAUAAAAAACUAUAUGCUAUUGCCAUUGAAUGUGUGGAUGAGGCCUUAUAUGAAACCAAAUCGAAAGGCAAUCCAAGGGAAAUUUUAGACGUUGAUGAUGAAUCACCCUUAGCAGUUGGUAAUGAUAGAAACUUCAAUGAGCAAGGAAGCUACUUCAUAAACAUCUCCCAACCCAAUUGGUCCGUCCAUCCUCUCCACAUUUGAGAUCUCCAACCCUCUCAUUCUUCGUAUUUACAAUAAUUUCAAAAGGGUGGUCGUCGAUGCAUAUGUUUAUCAUAAAUAUUGUAGAUCUCGUUAUGCUCUUAAAUUUGGUGUUGGAAGGGAAACCACAUCACCAAAAAUAUUUUGAAUGUUUCCUAAGGACAACCUUAGUGUCCUAAAACAAGCGCUUUUCACAUCCUAACAUGCGUGUUCACCUUCUGCUAUGCUUGUGAAACAAGAAUUGAUAUAAUUAUGAAAAUAUUCCUUCGGGUAUUCUUUUCACUAACCUUUCAGGUAUGGAGCAAAAAGAACGAAGGAAAAACAAACACAAGGUAUGUCCAACCAAUCACCAUGCAACAUUGAAUUAAAUGCUUCCAAACUAGAUUUUUGGAAAAUUCAAGUUUGGGGGAAAACUUUCUAAGAACAUCCCCGACCAUGUUGCUAUCUUGGUUGUCACUAUUUUUAAGAUAUGCUUAAUUUUCUAUACAUCAAUCAUGUUCUCUUUCAUAUUCAUGUGAGUAAAUAUUCAUAGUGCUCUCAUGCCACCUUCGAACUGUUAUAGUUGUUGACACCUCUUAACACAAUUACUGAAAAUAGACUUUUAAACGUAUCACUAGCAACGGCGUCAAAAUUACUUAAGAUCACUUAAGCUAGUUUGUCACCCCUAACAUGAUGUAGAAGUGCUGCUAUUAAAUCUAUAUGUUUUUCUUGGAAUAAAAUAAAUAAAUAAAGAUCCGCAAGCGCAAAGAAAAUACGGGUGUAGCAUUCUAACUAGGAGUAUUCCAGGUAUUGUUAUCUAUAUUUUUAAUACUGGGAAGGGACUUGCAAUGGAUAAUGAGCAACGAGCAUUGAAUGUAAUCAAUGCAGACCUUAACCAUGUCUAGGCAUAGUGAUACUAGCAAGAAAGAUCAUGAAUAGAGCAAUCACUUCCCUAAAAUAAUGGUGCUCUACAAUCCUUAUAAUCGGGAGAAGGAAUACAAAGGACUCAAUAGGACUGUCACUCCCGCGAUCUACCUCAAGCUCUAGACUAUAAGGGGUAAUCGCAGAUAAAUACGAUUUAGGCACCUCGCCUACACAAUAUCUAUCACUUACCCAUCGGCCUAAUGACUAAGCCCUAUACGAUCCUAUACAUAAACAUAGUUCUAAUCUAACUAAGCUAACCAUAUAAUUAAAGUAGAAUAAGAAAAAUAUAAUUGAGAACAUAAACAAAUAGAAUAAAGACAAUUCCGAUAUAAUCAAAUAGAUCAAAGUCAUAUUCAUAGUAGCAAGAACUAAUAUAAAUAUAGCGAAGAGAAUAAGAGUUUACCAAGAACUAAAGAUUGAUCCGGACUCCAAGAUUAACUUGACUCCUUGUAGAUCUAAUCCUAUGUAGCUAUGUUAAAGAACUAUAGAGAUCUAAUUGAGAUGGUGGCUAAGAAUCCUAUAGAGACAGAUCCAUUCGAUGGACCCCUCUCUGUCUAAUUCUUCUUCUCUUGAUCUUUUUAGAGAAUAAUGAACUCGUCCUCUAGGGGGGUCAGGGUCUUUAUUUAUAGCCCCCUAGGAAUCACCGCAGCCAUUGGAUCAAACCGACUUAAACGUGCGCUUAAGAUUAAUCCUCAAAUUUGAUGGAGGCAGGAUUCGCUAGGUUGCACCUGAUUGGUGGAGGUGGCUGAGCAGCCGCCCCACCUGUCAGGGGCGCCCGCCCCUGGCCCACUUCAUAGGGUCGCCCUCCCGUGUCUUCUAGAGUAUUCUUGAGUUGACGUUUCAUGUACUCUCUCUAUGUAAAUCUGACAUGUGGACCUCCUUUUGUUCCUAUUCCGAUAACCCCCUGCAGAAAUAGAUAAACACCAAAACUUGUGGAAUUCUAUUAGUGAUAACCCCUAUAGCUGAAUAAUAUUCUGAUUUUAAUCCUUUCUCAUGCUAUGUUGACGGUUAAAAAGAGUACUUAUCUACGGUCAACAAACUCCCCCAAACAUACCUUUUGCUCGUCCCUAAGCAAAGAUAGACUUGGUGAUGGAUCAGGAGUUGCUACAAUGCUUUCAUGCCUCACAUGUGCACAUGUUCUCAAACAAGGACUCUCCUCCGGUUCAAAGUGAACUAUUAUGGCUCAAGUUUCACCCAUAUUACCUUUCACCAUGGAGCUUGUAGCUAUCACUUAGUUCUUAGGCAGUUGAAAGACAGAAUAGUUAAGUCGAGCACUAUUCUACUCACCCUUUGAUCAACUAUUUUUCUAGAGUUUUACAUGAUUUUCAAAUAAAACUUAGAGUUUCCUUGUAUGACACUUUCCAGUCUCUCAUAUGUGGUAUUUUUGGAUCCUCUCCUAGGCAAGGGAGUAUGCCUUCUCUCAACUCUCAGAAUAUGUGGUAUUUGUAGGACUAAGGCAUAGUUGCCUUCUCUCUCUCACCCUACUUCUAAUUGGCUUACGCGGAGCUCAUAGGUAUGAAAGACAAUUCAAACCUACUUACACGGAUUGCAUAGUUAAACCAUGGAUACAUAGAAACUAAUUAUAGAAUCAAGUCAUAUGUGCAUGUGAGUGAAUGAAGAGGAUGAUAUGGAUCGAAGUGGUUAUGAGGGGUGAUAACUGACGGUGAAUAUCUAAUUCUACAUUUGCUCCAUGGGGAAAACAUACCACCCGAAACUAAGAAUAAGAUCUUGGCUGACUUUGUUUUCUUUUCAAUUGGGACUUUUGACCUCUUUCUUUCUUUUCUCUUUUUUAGAUGUAACACCCUAAAAAUUUCACUUUUCCAAAUAGGCUAAUUGAUUUAAUUAUUUGAUGUGGGCACUGAGAAGUAGUAAGAAAAUAAUUUUUGUUGAAAUAAAAUCCACUAUAAGGUCUAGACACAUGUAUGAGCAUUCAUGCCGCUGCAUAUAUUUUGUUGAGUGGAGUUCAUUCAAUUCAAAUUGGUUUUACAAAUUCUUUUCAAAAGGUUUGAGAAAAAGCUGGAAAAAUAAAAAGGAAAAAGAUUUCCUCUCCCCCCUCCCUAUCUCGGGCUCGGCCCAUUUCUUUUUCCCCUCCCCGCGGCCCGCUUGCCUCCUUCCCCUUUCUUUCUCGCCGCGGCCCAGCACUCGCAUUCGGAUAGGCGCCAGCACAGCCCAGCAGCACGCGCCCACGCCUCCCCUUUGCCGCAGCAGCUGACACAGGGGUCCCGCGCUUCGGUUCACCGACAGGUGCGGCCGAGCGGUCAGGGUCUUCCCCUACCCUGAGUCUGAGCCGGUCACGACCGAGCUCAACAACCGCGUGCGAUUUCACGCGAGCUGUCCUCCUUCCGCCCGAUUCUAGCCCUUUAUAUACUGCCCCGAUGCCCCGCAAUCACCCAACUCAUCCCGAGCCGCAGCCGCCGCGUCAAACUCGCCGAAAUCCGUCGCCGAGAUCCGCACCACAGCCCAACCACUUUUGCAGCGUGUCCCAAGCACCGUGAGCAGCUUGCCGAGCUUCGGUUCCGGUUUGUGAAGUCGCCGGAGCUCUCCUUUCGCGAUUUCGAGGUCUUUGUGUUUUCCUAACCCUCGCCGAACAACUUUGCAGGGCCGCCGUCCGCCCUCCGCCAUCGUGGGCACUCUCUGGUCGUCCUCGGCUCCAAUCUUGGCCUCAGGUGAGCAUGCGUCGAGUUCCCGAGCAACCCCGCGCCUUUAAUUUGUUCUCUACCACUCUCUAUCGCCAGCUUGGCGAGCUCCGGCCGAGCUUAGCCAUGGCGCCGCCGCGUCCUGUUCAUCUCCGGCCGGCCGGCUUCUUUCCCCCCUGCGAUCUAAUCUGGACCGUCGUUUUGAAGUCCAACGGCCGUCAGCGAAGGAUACCCCUUUGGCUGUUCGUUUUGCAAAAAACCCCCUGAGGUUUUUAAAGUAUAAACCCGCGGUCCGUUUACGCUUUUGCUGUUUACGCUUUCCAAGUUUGAAUACGUAUUUUCAACCGCGCAGUUCAAAAAUAGUUUCAUCGGAUUUACAGUUUUGCCAUUGAAUCUAUUUUGCUCAUAAAAUAUUCGUUUUAACUCUGAUUUGAUCCGUUCAAGUUGCGUUAGAUUCGUUUUCGCGUACUCUAUAGUCCAAAGCUACUGUAUUACAAGAUUUCAACUUUUAAAAUCUGAGUUUAGAUUUAAUCUAUUAUUUUAUUAAAGGCAAUCUUAUUUAGAUCAUAACUUCUUCGUUUUAGAUCCGAUUUUUGUGAACCUUACGUCUGUGUGAUCGUAGAGCGAUGUAGAUUCGUUUUAUAAACUUUUUAUCUUUAUUUACUACUAUUGGUGCACUGUUCUAAUAAUAGGCUUGUUUGCUUUGUAUGAUUGUCUUUGGAUGAAUGCUGUUGAUGUGAUGGAUACGAAUAGAUGGUGAGCAGUUCGUGGGUGAACAAGAGUACUACUACGAGCAGGAUCAGCACGACCAGUGUGAUCAAGGCAAGUAUAGCAUGGGAUCAUCCUUGUCUCCUAAUAACUUUAAUCACACAAUUCAUAUUGCAUGUGUCUCCUUGAUAAGGAUUUCCUAGUAUUGAUCUUAUACCUUGUCACCUAUGGUUUUGCAUUGGGUAGCUUAUGCUAGUGCUCCACUAAACCAUGAUCUUGUAAUUUGACUAAAGAAUUAUGCAAUAAACAUUUAAAGAUGACUUUUUAGCAAUGUUGGAAAAGAGGGCUGGAGCAUUGGGCUAUCUUAUGGUGCUCUAGUUUCUCUCCAUAAGGACUUAACUGUAUCUGACCAUCCGGGACUUAUAGUACAACUGUGAGGGCUACAUGGCUCUGGAUUUAGCUCCGUAUGAGGACCUUUUCUAGCUUGUUAGUGGUUACCCUUGUGGCGCAAGUGGGGGAUAGCAGACCGUGGAUUCCUGCGGGUGAGUCACACGGACUGACUAACGAAACCUAGCGGCCCUAACUUGUUAGACGAACCUUUGAAAGGCUUCAUAGUGAACCCUGCCGGUCUUCCUAGAGAGUGGGCUAAGGGGCUGAUCACCUCGGGAAAAAGGGUAAAUCACGACUCACAGUGAAAGUGUACAACCUCUACAGAGUGUAAAACUGAUAUAUCAGCCGUGCUCACGGUCACGAGCGGCCUUGGACCAAUACAAAAUAAAUGAACACUAAUGGAAAAUCAUUAAAUGUUAUUAUUGUUAAUAUGUUGUUUAUGCUAUUCUUUAUUCACUUUACUUGAUCAUGAGUGUACUUUGGGACUCAACAACUUGAUGCUACUCAUAUGCUAAAAUUGUGACAACUAAAAGCAACAUGCAGUUGAACCAGUGUCUAACCUUUGAGCCUCAUGAACCCCCUGUUAUACUUGUUAAGUACGAGGUGUACUUACACUUGUUUAUUUUCUUUAUUUGGAUAAAAAUCCUGGAUGGGUAACAGAUGGCAUGGGUAAUGACUACUAUCAGUACUUCCCUGAGGAUUUCUAGACUUGUGGUCAACCAGUUGACAUGCCUGUGUGAUGGAGCUUCCAUGCAAGACUUAUCUUUUAUUUUCCGCUAUAUUUAUGUUAAGACUCUGAGUUAUAUCGUUAUGUAAUAAACACUUGUGAUGAUCCUCCCUAUAAUUUGUCGGCUUAUGUGUGAUUGAUCUUUGAGCACACAUAAGGUUUUGCAUUCAAUUUUAUCCUUAAAAUUGGGUGUGACAUUAGAUCAGCCAUCCCUUUUUAAUGCACUGAUAAAAGUCGUAGGGAGUAUCAACUGAAAUAACUGGAGCUUUAUUGGAUAAGUAGAAUAAGACAUAAUAGCAAUGGAUGAAGGAAUGCGUACUCCUAGGGUAGGAGCAACAUCAGUGUGUGUUCUAGGAUAGAAAUAGCACAGAGUGUAGUGCAUAUAUGUGGGUGGUACUUCCAGGAACAGAAGUAGCACAUUGUGAAUGUGGUGGAUGUAAGUGGUUGCAUACUUCUGAGGACAGAAGUAGCUAACAUCAAUGGAUGGAGAGCACAUAACAUUGACUUAAAUGCAUGUCUAGUUCCUUAGGGUCUACACAGCUUAACAAUCCUCAAUGCAUAAAGGUUGAAAUAUAAGUGCUGGAGGUUUUCCGAAUCUAGCAAGCUUGAGUAUUUGGCUGUGGUAGGAAUUAAACUCUCGUCAUAAAGGAACUCAUCAUGUAGCAAUUAAAAUUUUCAAAAUAAAUUCCCCAGAACUCUAGCAUCUCUAGGAGCAAGUUUGAUAGCAGCUGUUGAUAUUUGGUAACGCCAUCAGGAAAUGAUCCGCAAGCGCACGGAUAUCGGUGAGCACUUCACCCGGGAGGUUAUCCAGAGUAUCAUAUUUAUAUUUUUACCACUGGGAGAAAGUGUGCAUCUGACUAAGCAAAUCUAUUACUACUACCCUUUAGGCUACAAAGAAUGUGAUUCGAUGUGAGCGAUGUAUAGAGAAGACUGCAACCGUAGUCUCAUUCUAACCUUCGUAAGGAUGAUCUACUGUUCUAUUGGGGAGGCUUACGGAAUCCAGACACCACAGAGGAUGUUCGACCCACACCUAUAAACCCUACUCGUCCUGCUAAGGAGAUGUGGGCUGCAAAGGUAACUCAGAAAUGUCACGUUCCUCGCUACUACCACGGUCCAGCUAGUCAGGAGAUAUCUAUGAGUACCCUAGCCCAAACACCACGUUUACGCUAGCAAUGAUUACUCUAAACUCAACCAGAAGAGAUUAAAGUAAACUCAUAAACCAAAGAACAAUAAAACAAGAACUUACUAGAAUUUAGAAGUCGAAUUACCGAAGAAUCCUAGGAGCAAGCCUCGGGUUAGGAGAACAUGAUGCCGUAGGUACAACCUCGGAGUAGACACGGACAGGCCAGGCUUCCUCCGAUCUACACCUCCACUCUAUCUCUCUCAAUCUAGUAGAUUUAGUCUACUCUCACAUUGGAUGCUAAGCCCUAAGUCUAUUUAGAGGAAAGGUUAUCCUUCGAGGGCACCUCUCAACUCUAUGAUAAACUUGUUCUCCUCUAGGGGCCAGGGGGUCUGCUUAUAUAGUCCCCUCAAGUGAAUCUGGGCCAUCAGAUCAAACCGACAUUGAUUGAACGGUUAUCCUUGGUCCUUUAGGUCGGUGGAGCGUAAUCCGCGAGAUGGGUCCUGAUUGGACUCUGCACCAGGGCGGGCGCCCUAGGGGGGAGGGUGGGCGCCCUGCCCCCGGGCCCGAUCACCUUCCCAUUCGUUCCCAUGGCUUCUGGAGUCUUCUAGAUGAUACAAAAUUGCGCGGCAAGUUAAUAUCUCUAUGUAAACCUAACGUGUGGGCCUUUCUUCCAUAUUUCCUGAUAACCCCCUGCAAAAAUAGACAAACACCAAAACUCAUGGAAUUCUAUGAGUUAAAACCCUAAGUCUGGGUGUUUGUUGCAUUUGGAUCCUUUUCUUUAUUUAUUUGAUGAUUAUUUUUUGGUACUUAAGGACCAUCAACAACUCCCCCAAGCUUACCUCUUGCUCGUCCCUAAGCAAGGAUGAACUCAAGAGUUUCUGCAGUGGUUUCAUGCCUUAAAAGUACACAUGCAUUCAAGCAAGAUCUCAUCUCUGAGUUAGAAUAAACUGUUAAGACUUAAAACUUACUCAUUUCACCUUUCACCAUGGGGCUUGUAUCCGUCACUUGUGUCCUGAGCAGUUAAAAGAUAGAACAGUCUAGUCAAGUGUCAUGUCUCUUGUUCUUUGAUUAACUAUAGUUCUGGAUUUUUUGCAGAUUAUCAAAUAAAACUCAGAGAUUCCUUGUAUGUCUCUUUCAAAUCUCUCUUUUGUGGUAUUUCCGGAUCCUUACCAAGGCAGUGAUGGUAUAUGCCUUCUCUCAAAGUAUAUAUUAUUUUUGGUAUGAGGCAUAGUGAUAUUGCCUUCUCUCUCACUCUACUCUAAUAAGGUUUUGAUAUCUAGAGCUCAUAGGUGGGAGACAGAUUAAUACAUACUUACAAGACAUUUAUUGCAUAGUCAAACCAUAGAUCCAGUAGAACAAGUCAAUAAGUCAAAUCAAGAUGUGCAUGUGUGGCGAGUGAAUGGUGUAUGGUGAUGAUGGUGAUAAUAAUGGUGAAAGUCUAAUUCUAAUUUUGCUCUUUUUAGGGGAUCCAUACCUUUCUUGCUCUUUGAAGCUUUUUGAGGAGAAUGAGAUGCUCUAUAUUUUCUUUUUUUUUUCCUCUCAGGUGGGUAUCUUGUACCCCUAAUUCUAUUGUCAGACACUUAUCCAUUUUUACCUCUCACCUCACUUUUUCUUUUCUUCGAGGUUCCGGGCACUUGCCCCUUUUUAUUUCCUCGUAUCCUUUUUUUUAGAGCACUCAUCUCCUGAAAUAAUAUAACAAGUGGUAGUAACCAAGAUAACUCGAGCAUUUAUUUCACAGGGAAAAACAAAAAUGUUUUUGGCUAUUCUCUCCCAGAUUAGGAGUAGAAUACUUUUAGGUGGCUCUAGAGAUGGAAGUGAGUGGAUGUAUGUGGAUGCGUACUUCCGGAGUAGAAGUAGCAUGUGCGAGUGAACGUGCAAGUGAAUCUUGAUUUUAACCACAUGACAAGCUCCUAAGGGUGUACACAGCUUGACCACACUCAAUGCUCAUAAGCAGUAAAAAGUAAAUGUGUGGCUCAAAGUUUGGCAAGCAUGUAUAUAUGGCUGUGGUAGGAAUUUAAACUCUCAUCAUACAUGAACUCAUCAUGUGUUAUUUUAAAGAUUUUUCAAAGAUAAAAUUCUCUAGAAUUAUAGCAUCUCUAGGAACAGAUAAACAGCAGCUCAACCUUCCCAUUUCCCAUAUCAUAUCCGUUAACAACUUAGACUUUAGAUGAAGUACUCUUCCCACAAGUUCAGGUUUAGAGCAGAUUUAAAUUAUAACAGUUAUGCCUAAACUUGAGAGAAAGCUCAAACUUGAAAACUAGGUACAUGGCAGAGCAACUAUUUAUCAUAUCCAUGUAAGAGUUUAUCAUUAGGGUUCAUAGCAAACUUUAUUUACUAAUUUAUUUAGCAAACUAAGCAAAGAUAUAUAUAUAUAUAAGCACAAAAUUUUUAUUUGGGUUUUCAUGAUUAUGCAUCUUUUUAUUAUUUGAGUAAAGUAUAAACACGAGUAGAAACACUUAGUUGGAUAAAUAGGGGUGCUCUCCCCCAAGCUAGAUUUUGACGUAAUUUCUUCUCAUGUAGCUAGCAGGUGACGGAGGUGUAUUUGAAUGUCGGCAGUACCCUGACAGCGAUUAGAAUGUCCUCCGCCGGCUAGUCUUCUUUGAUCCUUGAAUUCUGUGGAGCUCAAACAAAGCUUUGUGGAACUGGUUAAGUGUUAGCAUAAAUAUCUAGCCUUUAUCAUAUUGAGCUUCCUCUAAUAAAUAUUACUUUCUUUGGUAGGAUCAUAAAUUUAUUUUUAUAUUCUCAUUUUUAUAGGACAGGAAUAUUUUUUAUGCCACCACAGUGAAUGUACUUAUCGGUUUUAUGCCAUGAGCAUACUCACAGGGUGCUUACUAUUUUUAACAUUUUUAUUUUCUUUUUGAGAUGAUAUGAACCUGAUUAACUAAGCAAACUAUUUUAAAUAAUUGAAGGGAAAAGGAUAACUACCAAGUUUACCUCUUGGCAAGGCGUUCAGUGUUUUUAAGUCCUCUGAACGGGACUCUCCAUUCAGUCGUCCUGGGAUUCGCUGGAUGGCGUAGUCGGGGGUUUCGGCGGCGCCUCAUCUUCGUGUAUAACUAUCUUCUCUCUUCAUACCUGACUCGGAGCUACGGUCUCCUCAAGACAGUUUUGUUCAAGCUGUAUGUCUUCAGACCUUACCACUUCUCCUUUGUAGUCUGCCCAUCCGUCCUUGAUGAUUUGCUUCCUCUUGUUGCGGUUGUGUCGUCUUCUUCUUGUCCUGACCUGCUUAGAGUCAGUAAAAUAGUGGCGUACCUUCUUAGAGGGGAAGUGCAUGUGGACUUCUCCGGUUCCAACGUAGAUGAUUGCUUUAACGGUGCUGAGGAACGGUCUCUCAAGGAUGAUGGGCGGAUCAUACUCGUCUUCUCCCAUCUCAAUAACCUUCAACCUUUCGGAAUGUCUGAUCUGCCAUCUGGAGCUGGGUCAUCCUUUUUGGUCAGAAACGGUGACUUAAGUCGACGAUCUUGACAUCCUUAAAAUGCAGUGACCAUCUUAGCUGACUCGGUCCACAUUUGCUUAUUCCUGUUCCUCCUGUUGGUCCUCUUCCUUGGUUCUUCUCUGAGAUUUGUGUAGUCUUGUUCGUGAAGGAAAACAUCUCCUUCCUCCCUUUGAUGUAGAAACUGAUCUUGGCGGCACUAGCGUAGAUGACAACUCCUGAGGUGUUCAGGAAUGGCCUCCCUAGGAUGAUGGGUGCCCUCUCAUCAGUACCAAUCUCUAUCACCAUGAAGUCUUGAUUUUGUUGAGGACGGUUGUAGUAGUAGUUGUUGUUGUUGUAAUUUACGUCCUCAAGCAUCUCAGGGCAGUGAUUGCCUGAGUAUCUAGUAUCUCUAGUGUUUUUGUGCUCGUAGAUCCAAGCCCUUCACUUGGUGGAGUCUGAGAGUUGUAGAACUCCUUCAGGUUUUGCUCGAAGUGUACCUGCUCAUAGAGACAAGGCAGAGAUCAAGUGCAUGGGCCUUGUUGGUGAAAAACACCAACAGAACCAAAAGUGUAUUUGUUCUUCUCUAACCUUAAACAUAGUGAGCAAGACAAAGUUGAUGGAUAAUAAGAUCAUGAGUGUAGCAUUUAAAACAUUUGUCAGAUCAGAUUGCUCCACGUAAUGGAAAGAUAAUCUAUCUAUAUUUAUGUUUUGCUUAUAUCUUCCAAAGAUUGAAUGUGCAACAUUUUAGCUUAUAUGAUUAGGAGUGUGGGAUCACGAAGGUAGUACUAGGAACAAAGAUUAAAGGACUAAACAUGCUGAAUCAGUUGGGUUCGUUAAUUUGGAGUUAUAAAUCAUACAUGUUUGUCUCUUUAUUUAUGUGAACGCCAGAACCAAGGAUAAGUUUAUAAAAGCGAUAGUCAAGUACCUUAAGAUGUUACCUUAAUUGAAGAGUGAUGCUACCAUCUCACCUUGUGGAAGCUUCCCAUUCGUAAUGGGUGUGUAUCUUGUUUAUGUACUUUGUCUCCUUCCACGGAUCAUCUCUCUAUGAUGAAUGAGCUAUGUCUUCGUUGUGUAAAUCGUUAAAUUUCAGGUGUCUCCUUUAUCUUCAAUGUGAGUUUGUAUCUCAGGACUUCCCAGGUUGAUAUUGAAAGUUUUCCUGCAGGGGUUAGUCCGACAAAAUAUACCAAUGCCUACUCAAAUAGUUUUUAGUUCAGUUACCAAACUAGACUCUAUGUCUAAUCAGAUUAAAGAAGGCUAUUUAACCUAAGCACCACGCUUAAUUUAAAUGCCAAUGGGAGUAUGUCCAGUACUUCCAAACCAACACUUACUAGGAUAAACAUAGGUCGCAUGAUGGCUUUUAUAGAGAUCUACUCAAGUGGAGAUGAAGUAGUGUGACUAGUAUUUAACAAAUCAAGCAUGUCUCAAAGGUAGGGACAACCAACAUAGCAACUUGGCAAAGGAUGGUUUCAUGUGAAGUACUCCCCCAAGCUUGAAUUUUGCAAAAUUCAAGAUUGGAUGAAUUAUAAUUCAAUGUUGCAUGAUGAUUGGUUGGGCAUACCUUGCGCUUGUCAUUCCUCAGAUCUUCUUGCUCCAAUCCAAGAAAGAUUAGUGACAAGAAUACCCGAAGGAAUAUUUCUACAAUUAUCUUUAUAUGCUCAAUACACAAGGCAAUGUUGCAAAUAAUUAGAAAUUCAUGUUACGAUCUGAUAAGUGCUUGUUUUAGGACACUAAGCUUGUCCUUGGGAAACCAUCAAUUUAUGUCGGCGAAGUGGUUUCCCCUCAAACGCUGACCUAUAUCAAGAUCAACGAGAUCUGCAAUAUUUAUUAUAGACAUAUACAUCGACAACCGCCCUUUUAAAGUUUUUACAAAAAAGGAAGAGGGGGUUGGAGAUCUCAAAUGUGGUGAUGUUGGAGAGACCAAUAGAUUGGGAAGGUGUUGCAUAUGAACAUGGAGUAAACGAAGUGGCUAUGAAAUAAAUUCCAUGCUCAUUAAUGUUAUCUUCGUCUCCAAACUGAAUGUUUGGAGUUUCUCCUAGAUUGGUCUCGCCUAUGUCCUCUUCUGUAGUAGGAUGAAUCUCAUCUUCAAAGGGAGUCAAGAACUCACCAUUUGAAAUUGAGCCAAAGUCAGAAUCCAUUAAGGCUUGUUCCUUGUCCAUCCACUCAAUGGUGAUAGCACAUGGAUUAUUAAUGCCCUCUAGCCAUUGAUGUUGCUCUUCUCGAUCCUCCUUGUGGUCUUGGUGACUCUUAUGCAUGGGAUGUCUAGAGAGAUUCAUAGGAUCAUCGGGAGGUUCAAGAGAAAGAGCAUGGUAGAAUUUAUUAAGCUCAAGGAUGGGUUGGAUAGCCGAAUCAUGGGAUUGAAAUGUUUGGAAAUUGGCUAUUGAAACUUCCUUUCCUCGUCUGGGAGAUGAUUCCUUCUCUAUCUCUAAGAUUUUUCUAUGAAGACUAGUACAAGAAGGAUGUCGACGAAUGAAGACAUACCUUGCUUUACUAACAGAUAAAGAAAGAAAAACUCUACCAAAGGGUAUAUGAUUAAGACAAAUGUGAAAAUAUCGAGGAAAAACUGGGUCUUGUAGGCUAGGUUUAAACCAAAAUUUAUAGAAAGAUUAACAGAUUCCCUAGGUGUACCUAAAAGUUCAUUAUCUUUUUGAUUAAAAGAUAGGACCUCAGCUAUAGAAAAGGGUUGGUUUUGACCUAUUGCAAUCAACUCCGGACAUAGAUCAUAAUUAGGGGCAAAGAAAGGACUUGUUGACUCCCAUGGUCUAUGGCUGGUCUCCGAAGGUGCAAAAAAUUCAAUAAUAGGUGUGGAAUUUGAGUUAUCCAUAAAGAUGUAAAAAAUAAAAAGAUAAAAAAAGUAUAAAAGUAUAAUACAAGAUAAUAGCAAGAUUAAAAGUUAUCUCAGCAAACCGUCUUUCUCCCUGGUAACGGCGCCAGAAAUGCUUGUUGAUAUUUGGUAACGCCAUCAGGAAAUGAUCCGCAAGCGCACGGAUAUCGGUGAGCACUUCACCCGGGAGGUUAUCCAGAGUAUCGUAUUUAUGUUUUUACCACUCGGAGAAAGCGUGCAUCUGACUAACCAAAUCUAUUGCUACUACCCUUUAGGUUACAAAGAAUAUGAUUCGACGUGAGCGAUGUAUAGAGAAGACUGCAACCGUAGUCUCAUUCUAACCUUGGUAAGGAUGAUCUACUGUUCUAUUGGGGAGGCUUACGGAAUCCAGACACCACAGAGGAUGUUCGACCCGCACCUAUAAACCCUACCGUCCUGCUAACGAGAUGUGGGCUGCAAAGGUAACUCGGAAAUGUCACGUUCCUCGCUACUACCACGGUCCAGCUAGUCAGGGGAUAUCUAUGAGUACCCUAGCCAAACAACACGUUUACGCUAGCAAUGAUUACUCUAAACUCAACCGGAAGAGAUUAAAGUAAACUCAUAAACCAAAGAACAAUAAAACAAGAACUUACUAGAAUUUAGAAGUCGAAUUACUGAAGAAUCCUAGGAGCACGCCUCGGGUUAGGAGAACAUGAUCCCGUAGGUACAACCUCGGAGUAGACACCGACAGGCCGGGCUUCCUCUGAUCUACACCUCCACUCUAUCUCUCUCAAUCUAGUAGAUCUAGUCUACUCUCACAUUGGAUGCUAAGCCCUAAGUCUAUUUAGAGGAAAGGUUAUCCUUCGAGGGCACCUCUCAACUCUAUGAUGAACUCGUUCUCCUCCAGGGACCAGGGGGUCUGCUUAUAUAGUCCCCUCAAGUGAAUCUGGGCCGUCGGAUCAAACCGACAUUGAUUGAAUGGUUAUCCUUGAUCCUUUAGGUCGGUGGAGCGUAAUCCGCGAGAUGGGUCCUGAUUAGACACUGCACCAGGGCGGGCGCCCUGCCCUCGGGCCUGAUCACCUUCCUGUUCGUUCCCAUGGCUUAUGGAGUCUUCUAGAUGAUAGAAAAUUGCGCGGCAUGUUAAUAUCUCUAUGUAAACCCGACGUGUGGGCCUUUCAUCCAUAUUUCCGGAUAACCCCCUGCAGAAAUAGACAAACACCAAAACUCAAGGAAUUCUAUCAGUUAAAACCCUAAGUCUGGGUGUUGGUUGCAUUUGGAUCCUUUUUCUUUAUUUAUUUGAUGAUUAUUUUUUGGUACUUAAGGACCAUCAAUAGCAGCUCAAGACCUUCCUGAAAGAGCAUCUAGGCCCCUAAUGAGUUUCGGUGAUUAAUGAUAAUGUUGAUUACUGUGACUAACAUGUGUUUUGCAGAGGCAAAGUUAUUAGUGUUAGGCCAUGGUAAUAUUUACUCGAUGAACGGGGACGUACAUGCCUAUUUAAUAGUGGAAAUCGUUUUGGUUUUCAUAGGAUGGAUGGACAUCAUCAAGACUAGACUAGGUCUAAGUGCCAUAUGGUGAAGGAGGGCACUUAGAGUAGUUUAGGACUUUGUUUUCCUUUUGACCAUACUAUUAAGAGGGGCUUUGAUCUAGUAGCUUGACUUAAGCAAGGCUCUAGGUUUAGGUGUGGUGCACACUUCGUAAACCUAGCACUAGGCAGCUCAGAGAUAGUCCUUAGAUCGAGAGGAACAAACUUCAUUUUGGAACGGUCGCGUUUCGACGAAGUUUGGGUGCCUAAGUAGGCACCGGACGCUGCACCGGACGCUCUGUGAGUGCGUCCGGUGAGGUCGUUUUGAGUGAGAGUGCCUGAUGUUGAUAUAUGGUAACGCCAUCAGAAAAUGAUCCGUAAGCGCACGGAUAUCGGGAGCACUUCACCCGAGAGAUUAUCCAAAGUACCGUAUUUAUAUUUUUACCACUAGGAGAAAGCGUGCAUCUGAUUAACCAAAUCUAUUGCUACUACUCUUUAGGCUACAAAGAAUGUGACUCGAUGUGAGCGAUGUAUAGAGAAGACUGUAGCGGUAGUCUCGUUCUAACCUUGGUAAGGAUGAUCUACUGUUCUAAUGGGGAAGCUUACGGAAUCUAGACACCACAGAGGAUGUUCGACCCGCACCUAUAAACCCUACCCGUCCUGGUAACGAGAUGUGGGCUGCAAAGGUAACUCGGAAAUGUCACGUUCCUUGCUACUACCACGGUGCAGCUAGUCAGGGGAUAUUUAUGAGUACCCUAGCCCAAACACCACAUUUACGCUAGCAAUGAUUACUCUAAUCUCAACCGGAAGAGAUUAAAGUAAACUCAUAAACCAAAGAACAAUAAAACAAGAACUUACUAGAAUUUAUAAGUCGAAUUAUUGAAGAAUCAUAGGAGCAAGCCUCGGGUUAGGAGAACCUGAUCUCACAGGUACAACCUCGGAGUAGACACCGACAGGCCGGACUUCCUCCGAUCUACACCUCCACUCUUGUAAUACCCGAUUUUAAGGAUAAAAUCAGAUAUGCACCAUAUGUGAUUCUUAAAAGCCAAAUCUCACAUAUAGCUACAAAUGAGGGGUAAAAUCAAAAGACAAUGCAUAAAUAUAACAUACAUAGUAUAAAAGAUAUAACCUUUGAUAGCAAACAGCGGAUAGACAACUCCAAACUUCGGGUAUUAACUUCACUCUACAGGAUCCAACUGACUGGUUGAUCACAAGCCUAAAACAUCUCCUGAAGGGUGGGGAAAUAGCAAGAGUGAGUCCAUAUCGAACUCCACAAGUAUAGCAACUAGAUUGUAUAGCUCCCACAAUCUCAUGAUCAAUGUGACAUAAGUAAUAUAAAGCAUUAAAUAAUAAAUAAUGAACAUAUAUAACACACAAGAAUCAUCAUCGUCGAUGCAAGAAUCCCCAAGGCCGCUCUUGACCGUGAGCACGACUAGUAUACCAGUUUUAACACUCUGCAGAGAUUGUACAUCUUUACCCAUGAGUCAUGAUUUAUCCUUUCGCCCGAGGUAGCUAAUCUCUUAACCCCCUUCCUAGGGAGGUCGGCAGGGAUCACUAUGAAGCCUUUAAAAGGUUUCGUCUAACAAGUUAGGGCCAUUAGAUUCACUCGGCAGGCAGAUAUAGAGCCCCCCUUCCAUGGCACAUAACCCGCAGCCUAUACACACAGACAGAGGCCGCACUAUACCCAACGUGUCUAGCCAUUCUUACGCCAUUUAAGGUAACCGCUAACAAGCUAGAAAAAGGUCCUCAUACCGAGCUAAAGCCAGAGCCAUUAUAGCCCUCAUGGUUGCACUGUUGUCCCGGUUAUCACUUACACAUAAAACAUCAAGUUGCUAAAAAGUUAUUUUUAUCAUUUAUUACUUAACAUUAAUCAAGUCACAAGAUCAUGGUCACAGAAAUAAAAUCCAAAUUCUAUACUUGCCUUGAUCCAAUUGCUCUUGCUGAUCCUGUUGGUCUUACUAGUUGUCCAAGCUCUGAUCUUGAUCACUGAAGCACUCUUGAUCACCACGAAUUACUCACCGACUAAACUCGAUCAUCGAUCAACCACACACAAUCAUCUGGAGACAAACAUACACGAAGCAAACAAAGCUACAAUUAGAACAGUACACCAAUCAUAUAAAAAUAGUAUGAAAAGUUUAUAAAAUGAUUCUACGCAUCGCUACGAUUUCACAGACGUAAUGAUCAUGAAAAUCGGAAUUAAAACGUAGAAGUUAUGAAUUUUCUAAGAUUUCCUAUACAUAAAUAAUUAAUUAAUUAGGGUCAUGAAAAUAAAAAGUUUCAAACUGGUGAAUUAUGUUUACUAAUAUAUAGAGCUCAUUAAUACGAAUCUAACAAAAUUUGAAUGGACAAAAACGGAGUUCAAAUGAUUAAACUGCGCAUGAUUAAAGGUAGACCGAUUAAAGUAAUGGUAGAAGAUUUUGGAAAACUACCAUAACAUGCCUAGUGUUGUUUCCAUCAUGCCUGGUUGCCACUCGAUGUCCAGGAGACUCAUUGGCCAUAGCUUGCAAAGGCCGGAGGACAGCUGCAGGCAGCAUGUGCGGCGCACAGGCAACAACGUUGAAUUAGACGGCAACAAAAGGACAUGGGCUUAGCUUCAGGACUAGACGUGCGGCAAGUGCAGAUGAAAAGGAGGCAUCCUGUUCCUUCGUGACUUGAUGUUUAGCUUGCUGAACGAGAGAUCAGAUACUGAAUAGAAAGAAAAGAAGCAAAACAAAUGAUGAGUACUUAACAAAGAGGGAGUCACGCACCAGAAGAGACGAUUAUGAUGAGCACAGGCGAUGGACUGGAGAGAUAACGAAAAAAAUAUAAUUUACUACCGUGAAAUUCCCAGACUAGAGGUUCCAUUUACGGUAUUUUUGUGUUUCUCCUAAAGGGUUGGUACAUAUAUAUGUGGAGGAAAACUCUCCACAUCUACAUCAAUUAGCAAUAUGCUACUAAUUAAUGUUACCCCUUCCACCUUUACUAAUAGGCCUAAUUAAUUAUUAAAGCCCACUAGUAAAUAAAUACAUUGGCCUUUGAGAUCAUGGGUUCAGCGUUGGGUAGAAUGAAAGAUUUAUUAUUUUCAAAAUUAAUUAUUUUUGUGAAUAAGAUAUUUCUAGAAAAGUCUAGAAUUAUUAUUUAAUUCAUGAAAAAUAUUUCAAAAGCUUUGAAAAUUCGGGAAAAAUUCUCGGAUAUAUUAUGAAACAUGAGGAACCCAAAUAAAGUAUUUGGAGCUCAUGAUAAGAUAAUUUGGAGCAUCUAAAAAUUAGAUUCUGCUCACAGUUAAGUGGGAACAAGUUCCACAAAAAGUGUUAAAAUAAUUCUUGGUCAGUUUUUAGAGAUUGAUUGAUGGUUGAGGAACUAAAAGGAAUGAUUUGGGUUACAAAGAAAAGAUUUUGUGAAACUCGAAGCAAAAGCAUAGGCUAGAAAACAAGGAAUUUGAUUGUAGAAAAAAAUAUAAAUCCGUGCCGAAGAAGGGAGAUCGACCUACUAACAUAUUUUAAACACUCCACUCACUGACAACACACAAAGGAGCAAGAAGCAAACAUUACAUCAAAUCUUAUGCACCAGCAUGUAUGCACAACAAUAUUGCUAUGCUUUAUGAUAAAUUUUAAUUUACUAAAAAAUGUUAUUUUUCCUAUAUUUUCAUGAGCUCAAAAAUACCAAAUGAAAUUAUUUUAGCUCUAUUUUGAAAGGACCAAAUUUUGGGGUGUUACAAUUCUACCCCCCUUAAGAUGAAUCUCGUCCUCGAGAUUCAGAUCAUGGUGAUCAAAGAGAUAUGGAUACUCCAACUUUAUAUCUUCUUAACUUCCUUAGCCAUGUCCAGGAGUUUGACAGUACCUAUAUGCAGGGUUCUCCUUUAUUCUUAACUCCUCCAAAGCCAUCUCUCUUCUAGAGGCCCACAAACAUUCCUUCAACAAUGACAUGUUAGACGCAUCAGGUAUUCCUAAUCAACACUUGGUAUCUUUUGACUGUUAAGCUACUUUUCAUUUUUAGCAACCCCAACUGAGUUCUUGCAGCAAGGUGUUAGCUUAUUCUUCACUUCAACACUGCUUAUGCUUCUCAUAUCCUUUUUAGACGCUACACAUCAUAUAGUCUUUUAAAUUCGCUUGUACCAAGUCUAUUAAUCCAAAGUUAGUUUCAUCACUAAGUUCCAUCUGUUGGUACCUUUAUCACAAUUAAGUUGCUUCACUCUCACAUUGUACAUAUAUCUUUGUAGACUUUGGUGUCAUCUGAUUCUCAUACACAACUCUUAAUCCAUGAGUAUCAGUAAUGACAUAAACCUCCAUUGGUAUUAGCACACUCCAGAUGGAAUGAUAUCUUGAAACAAACCAACAUACCAAGCACUUAAUGUCCUUGUAGAUGUUAUAGUCAUUAACCACUUCUUCUCCUUGUAGUUCUUUAAUUGGGCUACCCCCUUAAGAGAGGUCAACUAGGGGACCAAGAACGGUAUCUUUCAUGUUUUCCAGACAAGUUAACUAACAUUGAGAACUCCUGACAUUCCAAAGAACUUAUGUGCAAUGGAGCAAACAAGUAUCCUGAAAUUUCCUCGCGAUAUGAAAUCACCAGCGUAGUAAAAUGGACAUAACUCUUAUUCCGUGAAUCCUAGAGUUGUAGCUUAUACCGUUAGAAAACAUAUGAAAUUACCUACAACUUUCUUGUAGAAUUCCUCCUUAGGUUCUGUCUUUAAGCUUAGGUAAAUCAACCAAACUUAAUAUCCAUCCAGACAAUGUCUCAGCAAGGGUGCAGUAUCUACCAAAAGUUAUAUCUCGAGCUACAGAACUCAUAUGAUGAUGGUCCUUAUAUUGUUGAAAAUUUUAUAAAAUCCUCUACAACAUUCGUAUACAACCUUUUCCCAGAUUCUGACUUUAACUUGGCUGAAAAUAGGAAAUGCCAGAUCUGUCUAGAUCUUGAAACUGAACAGAAACAUCCAAGUGUAAAUAUCAUAUCUCAGGUUCUUCUUGUCCAAAUGUGUUCCAGCUUAUACUGUUGGAAAGCUUAGAAAAGUGUAUACAACCUUUCUAUAGACCACUUUUCCAAAUUCUAUACCUAUAUUUGUCUAAAACAGUAGGCAACCAAAACUGGUCCAGAUUCUUGACAGCACAUCUGUACCAUAAUGUGAUUUUUGGAACUUCCAAACCAUAAUAGCUGUGAGGGUGAUUCUUGUGGUCAGAGAAAGAUCUUGAAGUCUAGUUGUUCCCAGAAAAUUUUGAUAAACUUUGCACAAUCAGAACUUGUGAUACACCAGCAUCAUUGCGGACUGCUCUAGAAAUCAGCAAGGGAUAGAAACAAGAGAUAGCCAAACCCAACUACUUAUUUCAUUAAUCCUUAUGCCUUAGGCCUAUGAACUAAUGAAAUUGUGAGGAAAUCCCACAAGAUCAUUGCACUCAUUACAAAGAUCCAAAUCAAGCAUAAACAUAAUAACAAACCAAUUAAGCAUUAAAGGUUCACACUUCACUCAACUUGCGAUAUUAUCGUUCUCUUCAUAGAAAGGCAAAGAUCCUAAAACUUAUAUUUCAAAGACGCAAGAAGGUGGUAAGAAAAGGUUCUAAUAGCAUACCAAAUCAAGGAGUGAAGGUGAGAACAAGUACUUUUAAAAUAAGCAACAAGGUAGAGACAAAUAGCAGGGAUAGGGACAUAGCAUGGAUGAAAAUACCAAGGUUUAUAGAGCAAGGAUUUUAUGACAAUUUCAAAACCUUAAGACGACCAAUUUCUAACUAGGCUUGCGUCCUACAGUCAGUAUUGCUUUGAUACCACUUUGUAAUACCCGAUUUUAAGGACAAAAUCAGAUAUGCACCGUCUUAAAAGCCAAAUCUCACAUAUAGCUACAAAUGAGGGGUAAUAUAAAAAGACAAUGCAUAAAUAUAACGUACAUAGUAUAAAAGAUAUAACCUUUGAUAGCAAAUAGCGGAUAGACAACUCCAAACUUUGGGUAUUAACUUCACUCUACAGGAUCCAACUGACUGGUUGAUCACAAGCCUAAAACAUCUCCUGAAGGGUGGGGGAAAUAGCAAGAGUGAGUCCAUGUCGAACUCCACAAGUAUAGCAACUAGAUUGUAUAGCUCCCACAAUCUCAUGAUCAAUGUGACAUAAGUAAUGUAAAGUAUUAAAUAAUAAAUAAUGAACAUAUAUAACACACAAGAAUCAUCAUCGUCGAUGCAAGAUCCCCAAGGCCGCUCUUGACCGUGAGCACGGCUAGUAUACCAGUUUUAACACUCUGCAGAGGUUGUACAUCUUUACCCAUGAGUCAUAAUUUACCCUUUCGCCCGAGGUAGCUAAUCUCUUAACCCCCUUCCUAGGGAGGUCGGCAGGGAUCACUAUGAAGCCUUUCAAAGGUUUCGUCUAACAAGUUAGGGCCAUUAGAUUCACUCGGCAGGCAGAUAUAGAGCCCCCUUCCAUGGCACAUAACCCACAGCCUAUACACAUGGACAGAGGCCGCACUAUACCCAACGUGUCUAGCCAUUAUUACGCCAUUUAAGGUAACCGCUAACAAGCUAGAAAAAAGUCCUCAUACCGAGCUAAACCCAGAGCCAUUAUAGCCCUCAUGGUUGCACUGUUGUCCUGGUUAUCACUUACAGAUAAAACAUUAAGUUGCUAAAAAGUCAUUUUUAUCAUUUAUUACUUAACAUUAAUGAAGUCACAAGAUCAUGGUCAUAGAAAUAAAAUCCAAAUGCUAUACUUGACUUGAUCCAAUUGCUCUUACUGAUCCUGCUGGUCUUACUAGUUGUCCAUGCUCUGAUCUUGAUCACUGAAGCACUCUUGAUCACCACGAAUUACUCACCGACUAAACUCGAUCAUCGAUCAACCACACACAAUCAUCCGGAGACAAACAUACACGAAGCAAACAAAGCAACAAUUAGAACAGUACACCAAUCAUAUAAAAACAGUACGAAAAGUUUAUAAAAUGAUUCUACGCAUCGCUACGAUUUCACAGAUGUAAAGAUCACGAAAAUCGGAAUUAAAACGUAGAAGUUAUGAAUUUUCUAAGAUUUCUUAUAGAUAAAUAAUUAGUUAAUUAGGGUCACGAAAAUAAAAAGUUUCAAACUGGUGAAUUAAGUUUACUAACAUGUAGAGCUCAUUAAUACGAAUCUAACGAAAUUUGAAUGGACAAAAACAGAGUUCAAAUGAUUAAACUGUGGAUGAUUAAAUGUAGACCGAUUAAAGUAAUGGUAGAAGAUUUUGGAAAACUACCAUAACAUGCCUAGUGUUGUUUCCAUCAUGCCUAGUUGCCACUCGAUGUCCAGGAGACUCAUUGGCCAUUGGCCAUAGCUUGCAAAGGCCGGAGGACAGCUGCAGGCAGCACGUGCGGCGCACAGGCAACAACGAUGAAAUAGACGGCAACAAAAGGAGAUGGGCUUAGCUUCAGGACUAGACGUGCGGCAAGUGCAGAUGAAAAGGAGGCAUCCUGUUCCUUCGUGACUUGAUGUUUAGCUUGCUGAACGAGAGAUCAGAUACUGAAUAGAAACAAAAUAAGAAGCAAAACAAAUGAUGAGUACUGAACAAAGAGGGAGUCACGCAGCAGAAGAGACGAUGAUGAUGAGCACAGGCGAUGGACUGGAGAGAUGACGAAAAAAAUAUAAAUUACUACCGUGGAAUUUCCAGACUAGAGGCUCUAUUUACGGUAUUUUUCUGGUACAUAUAUAUAUGGAGGAAAAUUCUCCACGUCUACAUCAAUUAGCAAUAUGGUACUAAUUGAUGUUGCCCCUUCCACCUUUACUAAUAUGACUAAUUCAUUAUUAAAGCCCACUAGUAAAUAAACACAUUGGCCUUUGAGAUCAUGGGUUCAGCGUGGUGUAGAAUGAAAGAUUUAUUAUUUUCAAAAUUAAUUAUUUUUGUGAAUAAGAUAUUUCUAGAAAAGUCUAGAAUGAUUAUUUAAUUCAUGAAAAAUAUUUCAAAAGCUCUGAAAAUUCGGGAAAAAUUCUCGGAUAUAUUAUGAAACAUGAGGAAUCCAAAUAAAGUAUUUGGAGCUCAUGAUAAGAUAAUUUGGAGUAUCUAAAAAUUAGAUUAUGCUCACAGUCAAGUGGGAACAAGUUCCACAAAAAGUGUUAAAAUAAUUCUUGGUCAGUUUUUAGAGAUUGAUUGAUGGUUGAGGAACUGAAAUGAAUGAUUUGGGUUACAAAGAAAAGAUUUUGUGAAACUCGAAACAAAAGCAUAGGCUAGAAAACAAGGAAUUUGACUGUAGAAAUAAAGAUAAAUCCGUGCCGAAGAAUGGAGAUCGACCUACUAACGUAUUUUAAACACUCCACUCACUGUCAACAAACAAAGGAGCAAUAAGCAAACAUUACAUCAAAUCUAAUGCACUAGCAUGUAUGCACAACAAUAUUGCUAUGCUUUAUGAUAAAUUUUAAUUUACUAAAAAAAUUGAUUUUUCCUAUAUUUUCAUGAGCUCAAAAAUACCAAAUUAAAUUAUUUUAGUUCUAUUUUGAAAGGACCAAAUUUUAGGUUGUUACAACUCUAUCUCUCUCAAUCUAGUAGAAUUUAGAAGAACUAAUUCUACUCUCACAUUGGAUGCUAAGCCCUAAGUCUGUUUAGAGGAGAGGUUAUCGUUCGAGGGCUCCUCUCAACUCUAUGAUGAACUUGUUAUCCUUGAUCAAACCGACAUGGGGGGCCAGGGGGUCUGCUUAUAUAGUCCCCUCAAGUGAAUCUUGGUCGUCGGAUCAAACCGACAUUGAUUGAACGGUUAUCCUUCAUCCUUUAGGUCGGUGGAGCGUAAUCCCCAAAUAGAGUCCUGAUUGGACUCUAGGACAGGGCGGGCGCCCUAGGGGGGAGGGCGGGCGCCCUACCCUCGGGCCCGUUCGCUUUCCCGUUCGUUCCUGUGGCUUCUGGAGUCUUCUAGAUGACAGAAAAUUGCGAGGCACGUUAAUAUCUCCAUGUAAACCCGACGUGUGGGCCUUUCUUCCGUAUUUCCUGAUAACCCCCUACAGAAAUAGACAAACACCAAAACUCGUGUAAUUCUGUCAGAUGAAACCCUAAGUCUGGGUGUUGGUUGCAUUUGGACCCUUUUCUUUAUUUAUUUGAUGAUUAUAUUUGGUACUUAAGGACCAUCAACAACUCCCCCAUGCUUACCUCUUGCUCGUCCUUGAGCAAGGAUGAACUCAAGAGUUUUUGCAGUGGUUUCAUGUCUUAAAAGUAAGAUCUCAUCUUUGAGUUAGAGUAAACUGUUAAGACUUAAACCUCACUCAUUUCACCUUUCACCAUGGGGCUUGGAACGGUUACUUGUGUCUUGAGCAGUUAAAAGAUAGAACGGUCAAGUCAAGCGCCAUGUCUCUUAUUCUUGAUCAGCUAUAGCUCUGGAGUUUUUGCGGAUUUUCAAAUAAAACUCAGAGAUUCCUUGUAUGACUCUCUCAGAUCUCUUUUUUGUGGUAUUUCUGGAUCCUUUCCAAGGCGGUAAUGGUAUAUGCAUGCUCUCAAAGUAUGUGGCAUUUUUGGUAUGAGGUAUAGUGAUAUUGCCUUCUCUCUAACCCUACUCUAAUAAGGUUUUGGUAUCUAGAGCUCAUAGGUGGGAGACAGCUAAUACAUACUUACAAGAUAUUUAUUGCAUAGUCAAACCAUGGAUCCAGAAGAACAAGUCAAUAAGUCAAAUCAAUAUGUGCAUGUGUGGCGAGUGAAUGGUGUAUGGUGAUGAUGGUGAUAACAAUGGUGAAAGCCUAAUUCUAUUUUUGCUGUUUUGUGGGGAUACAUACCUUUCUUGCACUUUGAAGCUUUUUGGGGAGAAUGAGAUGCUCUAUAUUUUCUUUUUCUUUCCUCUCAGGUGGGUAUCUUGUACUCCUAAUUCUACUGUCGGACACUUGUCCAUUUUGACCUCCUCGUCUCACUUUUUCUUUUCUUCGAGGUUUCGGGCACAUGCCACUUUUUAUUUCCUCGUAUUUUUCCUUUUUCUAUUUUUUUUUCUUCUUCUCUUUUUUUAGAGGACUCAUCUCCUGAAAUAAUAUAGCAAGUGGUAGUAACCAAGAUAACUCGAGUAUUUAUUCCACAAGGAAUAACAGGGAUAGGAUAAUGUUUUUGGCUAUUUUCUCCCGGAUUAGGAUUAGAAUACUUUUGGGUGAAUCUGGAGAUGGGAAUGAGUGGAUGUAUGUGGAUGCGUACUUCCAGAGUAGAAGCAGCAUGUAUGAGUGAACGUGCAAGUGAAUCUUGAUUUUAACCGCAUGACAAGCUCCUAAGGGUCUACACAGCUUGACCACACUCAAUGCUCAUAAGCAGUAAAAAGUAAAUGUGUGGCUCAAAGUCUAGCAAGCAUGUAUAUAUGGCUGUGGUAGGAAUUUAAACUCUCAUCAUACAGGAUGUUAUUUUAAAGAUUUUCAAAGAUAAAAUUCUCUAAAAUUCUAGCAUCUGUAGGAACAGAUAAACAGGAGCUCAACCUUCCCAUAUCAUAUCCGUUAACGACUUAGGCUUCACAUCAUGUAUUCUUCCCACAACUUCAGGUUUAGAGCAGGUUUAAAUUAUAACAGUUAUGCCUAAACUUGAGAGAGAGCUCAAACUUAAAAACUAGGUACAUGGCAGAGCAACUAUUAAUCAUUUCCAUGUGAGAGUUUAUCAUUUAAGUUCAGUUUGGCCUAAACACUUUAUUUAUUUAUUUAGCAAACUAAGCAAAGAUAUAUAUAAGCACAAAAAUUUUUAUUUGGGUUUUCAUGAUUAUGCAUCUUUUUAUUAUUUGAGUAAAGUAUAAACGCGAGUAGAAACACUUAGCUAGAUAAAUGGGGGUGCUCUCCCCCAAGCUGGAUUUUGACGUAAUUUCUUCUAAUGUAGCUAGCAGGUGGUGGAGGUGUAUUUGAAAGUUGGCAACACCCUAACAGCAAUUAGGAUGUCUUCCGUCUGCUAGUCUUCUUUCAUCCUUGAUUUCUAUGGAGCUCAAAUAGACAACAAAGCUUUGUGGAACUAGUUAAGUGUUAGCAUAAAUAUCUAGCCUUUAUCAUGAUGAGCCUCCUCAAUAAAUGUUACUCUCUUUAGUAGGAUCAUAAAUUUAUUUUUAUAUUCUUAUUUUUAUAGGACAGGAAUAUAUUUAUUUUAUUUUUACGCCACCAUAGUGAAUGUACUUAUGGGUUUUAUGCCAUGAGCAUACUUCACAUAGGGCUUACUAUUUUUAACAUUUCUAUUUUCUUUUCAAGAUAGUAUGAACCUGAUUAACUAAGCAAACUAUAAUUGAAUAAUUGAAAGGAAAAGGAUAACUACCAAGUUUACCUCUUGGCAAGGCGUUCAGUGUUUUUAAGUCCUCCGAACGGGACUCUCCGUUUUCUCAGUCGUCCUGGGAUUCGCUGGAUGGCGAAGUCGGUGGUUCCAGCGGCUAUAACUAUCUUCUCUUUCCACAUCUGACUCGGUGCUAUGGUCUCCUCAGGACGGUUCUGUUCAAGCUGUAUGUCUUCAGACCUUACCACUUCUCCUUCGUAGUAUACCCAUCCGUCCUUGAUAAUUUCCCUCCUCUAGUUUUGGUUGCGUCGUCUUCUUCUUACCCUGACCUGCUUAGAGUCUUCAACUAUAUAGUUAGGGUCAGUAAAAUAGCGGCAUACCUUCUUAGAGGGGAAGUGCAUGUGGACUUCUCUGGUUCCAAUGUAGAUGAUUGCUUUAACGGUGCUGAGGAACGGUCUUCCAAGGAUGAUGGGUGGAUUGUACUCGUCUUCUCCCAUGUCAACGACCUGAAAAUCAUCUGGAGCUGAAUGUAUGUUGGUUGUAGGGGCAUGGUUCCAUGCAGGAGCUGAUAAGUGACUAUGGCCAUUAUGUUGUCGUCAGAUCCGGUGUCAUAGAGUGUCUUCUGAAAAGAGUAUCCAUUGAUUGUGCACUCGAUGCUUGGAACACCAGGGUCGUCCUUCUUGAUCAGGAAAGGCGACUUGAGUCGAUGAUCUUGACCUCCUCCGCCAAGGAUCCAAUGUUUUAAGUCUUCUGGACAAGACUUCUUACCGUCUUCAUCCUUUAGGUGCAUAAUUUGAUUAGGUGUGGACCUUGACGUCUGCACCUCUUGAUACGG
rnacentral:lncRNA from 1 species